rnacentral:lncRNA from 1 species
AUUAACAGAGUUAGAGGGCAUUUGCAAAUUGCUCAAAACAAAAUGAUCAUCAAUGCAAACAAGAAGCGGAGCGACAAGAGUUUUGAAGUCAAGGACUAUGUUUACUUAAAGCUACAGCCAUACAGACAACAAUCUAUUUCACACAGAUCAUCAAAAAAAUUAGCUGCAAACUAUUAUGGCCUUUACCAGGUGAUCGCCAAAGUGGGAACUGUAGCCUAUAAGCUUGAUCUGCCAACCGCUUACAUGGUCCAUCCCGUGUUCCACGUUUCCCAGCUCAAGAAGCAUGUAGGAAACCAAAUCAUGCAGGGAUCCCUUCCAAUUAUCAAUCAUGGUCCUCCCUUGCAACCCAGAGCCAUACGGGAAAGACGUAUAACUAGGCGAAACAACCAUGCUGCUACUCAGGUGCUCAUACAUUGGGAAGGGUUGCCACCAACAAAUGCAACAUGGGAAUUCACUGAGGAUUUGAAGCUGAGGUUCCCAACAUUCAACCUUGAGGACAAGGUUGGGUUCGAGGGGGGCAAUUGUUAUCAACAAAGGAGGGAGAAGAAGAUUUAUGAUUUGAAUUCAAAUUAAUUACUUUCCAUUAUGCACCGUAUUACUUAAUUCCCUAAAACGCACCGUUUUACUUAGUUUGUUAUGGUGCCAAUAUUAAAAACACACCACACGCCUGUAGGUGUGGUAUCAUAGAGUUUCCAUUCAGUUAUAAAGAGUGUAACAGAAUGCAUGGAUUACACAUGCAAAAACAAUGAAAAACGAAUGACAUUCCUUGAAGUCAUGAAUUCUACCCUUCCCUCAUCCUCUAUGAAUUAUCCUUCAUAACCACCAUGGCUCAGCACUGAAGAAUACAACCCCAGUCUAUCCCCUCCCUCAGCCAGUCUUUUACCCCCUCUACUAGGCCCCAUACAGGUAGGCACCAUAAGUGUUUCACUCGUAACAAUGAGAGACAACAAGAAAAUCACCAUAAAGGUUGAGCUACUAACUAGAAGAAGAGACGAGAGAUGAUAAAGGUUGAGCUACUGCUUCUAGCUUUGAUUUAGGGUUAGAACACGAUGGGAAGACAUGAAAGACACAAAAAGCUUGAGUGUGGCUAUUUUGGGUUUGAUUUAGGAUUGGGAAGAAAUUUUAACAUUUAUACCUUUUUUUUUCAAAUUUAAAGUGCUGGUUGAACCAGUCUGAUUCAAUUGGUUUUGAACUUUUAAAACCAAAAUUAAAUUAGAUCGAAUUGUUUUUUAAGUUUUUUAAUUAGUUAAUUUGAUUUUUUUAUUUUUUUUCCUGGUUUAAUUGAUUUUUCAAGUUUUUUCCCACCCCUACUAAAUAGUAUCAUUUCCUACCAGAUUUUUGUUUUCUGAAAAAUUGAUUUAGUUUUUUUUUUUUUUUUUUAAGUUGAAUUUUCUUUUGUUUAGACAUGGGAGAAAGUUUUGAUAAAGGGUCAUUGGGUCAAAAAGUGUCUUGUAACGUGUAAGUACUUUACAUGCUAAUGACUCAGACAUGGAAACCGGAGAAAAAGAAAAGAAAACAGUAACACCAACUGUGGAAAGGUAUUAUAAUUGGAAAGAACUAGAUUAGACGUCUGUAUUAUGCCAUGGGUCACGUUAAUUUUUAUUUAAUAUAAAAAAUGAUAAUGUUUUUUUUUAAAUGGUAAAAAUUUAAAAUUAAAGUCAUUGGUUAAAUAGAUUUAAUAAGUUUGGUUAAUUUAAUAUUUUGAUUUUAUAAAAAAAAAACCAGUGACAAUAAAAAACAAUAAUGACUAAUCGAAAAAAAUACACGCUUGCUAAUAUUAUAAAAAUAUAUUUUAUAAAUAUUUUUAAAAUAUCUCAAAAAUCUUAUUUGAUAACAAAACAAAAAUUGAAUGAAAAUAAAAUAACCUUAUAAAGAGAAAAAUGAAAAUAAAAGCUUAAUCACUAGUAAAUCAAACACAAAAGGGAGAAUUGAAAAAAAAUUAAUUUUAAAAAAGAAUAAAAAAUUUUAACUAUAGUCUGCAAGUCAAACUUGCGACUUGCUUACAAGGGUGAGAUAACCUCAUACAAAAAAAACUUAAUAAAAAAAUGGAGGUGUUGCAUGUAAAUAAAAUAAUGAAAGGUAAAACUGAAAAGAAAAAUCAAUAAAAACAACAUUGAAAAAAAAAACUCAGGUAAGCUUGUGUUAACUCGAAUAAUUUGUAACCCGAGAUAUAAAAUCAAGAUAGUCUUUUAGAAAGGAAAGUAACAAAACUCAUGAAGCUGAAGACUCAAUAAUAAAACAUUAAAGGAUGAAAUUCUAAAAAAAAAAAUUAGUUUUUAAAAAGCAUCUUAAAAAAUAGACUGAAUGCAAACCAAGCUAAUCUUUAAAACCUAUAAUUCGAUUCAUGAGAUUGAGUUACCUCAUAGAAAAUAAACCUGAAAAAAUCAUGAAGCAAAAUUUUAAUUAUCAAAAAUUAAAAAAACAAAACAAAUAGUAAUUAAAGGAACGAAGAUUAAGUCUGAUAUAAAAUUAAAUGAAAUAAAAGAAUUAGAAAUGAAAUUGAAAAAUAAAAUAAAUCAAGAAAAUGAAAAAAAAUAAUAAUAAUAAAAAAUAAGGAUUAAAUAUAAUAAAAAAUUUAAAUUAAAUAAAUAAUUAAAAAAUAAAAAAAUAAAAAAGUGAAAAUAAAAAAAAUAACUAUCAAAUAUAUAUUAAUAUUAAAUGAAAUAAGUCAAAGAUCAUUUCCCCCCUAUUUUUCACUUCUUAGCUUGCCAUGUGGAGGGCAAAAUUGUUAUUAUAUUGUAACAAUUCAUAGUAAAAUGAUUCUUUGAUAGGAGAGGGACUCAAUCCAUCAAAUUAGUAGAGGAAGGGCUAAAUUCAACCAAAUUGAUAAAGUACAGGGACCACAGCCUCUAAUUAACCUGACCUAAAACUGGCAUGUCGUUUAUGCGUAUGGGGUGACAUAAACCAUGUAUCCUUGCAUAUAAAACAACGUUGACGUGUUCCUUCAUCUACCAGUUUAACUGGUAACUAGGUGCCCUUGUGCUUCAAUUUCCAUGCUGCCUGGCAACAGUACUGCUCAUCAAAACCACUUACAGAGACAACAACAUAUAUCUAAAUUCACACUUCCUACUUACUUGUUUAAUAGUUCUUUCACUCUAUCUCAAAGAAGUGUACUUUUCUUCUUCUUCUUGAUUUUAUUUUAUUUUUCUUGAUUUUAUUUUUAUUUUCUUAACAUAUUGUUUGAUUGAUUGCCAAUAUGAAGUGAGAAUGUUAGGAUCAGUUCAUUACCUCGAUUUCUUUCAGUUUCUCUUCUUUUUCUCUCAAUCAAGUUUGUAUUUUAUGAAUGCUUGGAUUCUAAAUUAUCUUAAUCUGUUUGCUUUGAAAUGGAGAGAAUUUGAAAAUUAGAGUCUUUUCUAGCCUCUGGUUAUCGAAUUUACAUAAUUUGAUGUCUAGAUACUCAUUGGAUUCUUCGAAUAAUGAAACCUUUUUUCAUUUCUCUUGCUUUUAUUGUUCUGUUUCGCAGGAUUUGAUGCUGUUUAUGUCGAUAACAAGUAGCUUCAUUGAGUUUCAGUAUCCAUGGCUGUAAAUUAGAAGUGGGUUAUUAAAGGAAUUGAAAAAUAAGGAUAACAUGAGUAGGACACGCAAGAGUAGUAAUUUAUGUGAUGAUAAAAUUGCUGGCAAGGGAUCCUCUACAAGUCAAGGACCCAAUGAGGUUUCUGAUUAUCUUGAUCAUGAGAUUGCUCAACUCACAAAGCUCAGGUCACGGCCUCAUGAACUUUUGAGCAGGGACGUGCCUGGCAGGUCGAGGCUGCCCGUCUCAACUAUGAGAAUGCUGGUUGGUCGAGAGGGUAAUUAUUCCGGAAGAGGGAGAUUCUCAUCUGCAGAUAGUCGUCAUGUUUUAAGUCGAUAUUUGCCUGUACAUGGUCCUUGCACGGUGGACCAAUUGAAUAGUCGGACUUAUGUUUCUCAGUUUUCAGAUGAUGGAACUCUUUUUGUUGCUGGAUGCCAGGUAACAUGGGGGGGCUAUCAAUAAAGUAAUUACUCUUGAGCAAGCAUUACGCUUCAUAAAGAUUUGGUGAUUCUUAAAUUAACGGGAGUGUCUGUAUUGUUGUUUUUUAAGUCAGUAUAUACGUUUCUUUUGCCACAGGGAAGCCACAUUAGGAUAUAUAAUGUGGACAAGGGAUGGAAAAUUCAGAAGGACAUUUUAGCCAAGAGUUUAAGAUGGACAAUUACCGAUACAUGUCUUUCGCCCAAUCAGCGCUACCUUGUAAGUUUCUGAUGACUCUAGUUGAAAAAAAAGUGGAUAUAUUACUGAGAUAGAAAGUCAAUUAUUAUAGUAUAGUUCAGUGCAUUGAUGCAACUUCUCUGGGCUUAGUGGAGGACUUCUUCUUUGGUGGAUCACAUCUUUUAAAUACCAAACAUAAAUUUUCUUCAGGGUCUGUCUUUAUUUCCUGUUUUAAUUGUUGUAGCUCUCAUCUUGUUCAACAUACAGGUUGGUGGAUUAUCCGCCUGCCCAUUUCUUGAUUGUUCACAUGUGCUUCUGUUGUGCUUGUGUGUGUCUGUGAGAAUGUAUGGUCAUCUCUCUAUGCAUUUUCUUAUUCAGUCUCUUUGUGUGCUGGAUUGUGUGGAUGCCUUUUAUGGAUCAUUAUGGACACGGCUCAAGUGCUCCCUUGUAAUUUCUUAUAGUUGCAGCCUUAAACAAGGGUUACUUGGUUGUUUUAGGUCUUAUAUCUUUUUGGUUUUUUAUGAUGAGUCAAUUUGUCUAAUGUCAUACUGCAACUUAGCCCAUCUUUGGAUCCGGGCUCAUUGUGGGCCAGCAUAAUUUUAUCAAUUGUGUAGAGCUCAUCCUUGUUCCCGAGUGUAACUAUGCCACUUUCCACUGGAGAUAAACUGAUCUGUAGACUUGACAUGCAAUACAAUUUAAUUUUAUAACAUGGAUGAAGUGCUUUUUCAUUGUUGAUUUCAUUAAACUUUAAUGUUAAUUGUGCAGGUGUAUGCUAGUUUGUCACCUGUUGUCCAUAUUGUGGAUAUUGGAUCUGCUGCAACAGAGUCACUAGCAAAUGUAACGGUAUGUCUGCCACAAGUCAUACUUGUUUGUGGAUUUUUUCCUUGGUUUCUAUAAUAUGCGGGUGUUUGAUCAAAGGCUAAUAUCUUUUCAGCUUCUGUCAUAUUAGCUUUAUUUUUAUGGAACCAUGCCUUUAAACUGUCAUCUUGGAAUUACUGUGUUGUCUAGCUGUCAUCAAUGGUGAUAGAUGGGAAAUUUUUUAUUCCCUGCCAGGGAUGUCUAUUUAAUUUACCCAAUGAUUGUAUUGCAUGCUCUCCCCAUGGAUUGUGGUUCUGUAUGAUGUGCAUUGUUCUGUGUGUUAUAGGGCACCAUUGUCUGGCUAGGUGAUAUUUAUCAUUGUGAGUUAGUCCUUGUUCUUGGUGAGGAGCCCUGUUAUCAUGACUAUUAGAAAUCAGGUUACGGUCAUAAUGCUUGGGAUCAUCCAAUUCAGUAAGUAAGAUGCUCACUGGAGUAAACCACUUUGCGCUACAGAGAGGCAAUCCUGCACCUUGAGCUAUGGCUUACUCAGUUGUCCUCUUAUAGAUAGCCAAUUUUUUUUCUUGGGAAAUUCAAUGAUUAUAACUCGGUCCUACUUUUGUUUCUUCAUCGUUUUUAUUGCCACAAAGUGAUCAAUUAAUAUUUUCAUAAAUUUUACAAAGCAAAUGGCCAUUGGUUUCAUUCACAUCAAAAUUUCUAUAUGCAGGAAAUUCAUAAUGGUUUGGAUUUUUCUGUCGAUAACGAUGAUUAUGAUGAAUUUGGGAUCUUCUCUGUGAAGUUUUCAACUGAUGGGCGAGAGCUUGUAGCUGCAAGUAGUGAUAAUUCAAUAUAUAUUUAUGAUCUUGAAGCAAAUACCUGCAGUCUCCGAGUUCCUGCACAUAAGGUAUCAUAUUUGUACAUUUCAUCAUAAGAAGCUUAUAGGAUUUUGAAAUUUAGUGGGGUCAUUGAAAGUUAGAAUCUGUUGCUUGUUUGGAAUUGGUUGAUGAGGUGCAAGUUACAUCUAGACAAUCUGUAAGCAACAUUCAUCUUGUAUUACUACUUGGUAGUUUUAGUUUGUAUACAUAAAUGCUGCUAAAUUGUCUAUCUGAUUCCUUUGAAACUGAAAACGCAGACCCUUGCCUGCCUAUUGACCAGUAGAUUUAUUUGCUUUGCAAAAGACAAUAUCUUGUUUCAUUCUCAAUUUUAAUUGUUAGAGAAAUUAGUUGUAUGGCAUAUUCAUCAGUCCAUAUUUUAGAGUAUGAAGGCAGCAAGCCAAGACGGUUCUAAAGAAGUUUAAACUAAAUCAUACAAGUGAAAUUAUUUUUCUUUUCUGCUCAAAAGUUGAUGCAUUGUAUUCUUUUUCUUAAUUGCUGUCUUUCUCCCCUUCUUUAUCAUUUCCCUUCUCUGAAUGCAGGGUGGGUCUAUAUUUCAGUGAAAUACAGAACUAAAUCAUACAAGUGUAUAAUUAUUUUUCUUUCCUGCUUAAAAGUUGAUGCUUUGUAUUCUUGUUCAUACUUGCUGUCUUUAUUCCCUUCUUUACCAUUUCCCUUCUCUGAAUGCGGGGUAGGUCUACAUUUCAGUGAAAUACAGCGAACAUCUGUGAACUUUUUUCUUGGCAAGAGUGAUUAAAAUGAAGAUGUUAACACAGUAUAUUCUUAAAUUUUUUGGGCUUUCUCUCAAGCAGGUUUUGGUGUUUUGGAUAUAUCAUGAUCUGAUUUGUGUUGCUCCUGCAGUCUGAUGUCAACACAGUAUGUUUUGCGGAUGAAGCUGGCCAUCUCUUGUAUUCGGGAAGUGAUGAUAACCUCUGUAAGGUGAAAGCUAUUCUUUAGCCUUUAAAGAUUUAGGUCAUCUUGUUCCGUAGUGCUACCCAAUAUUCAUUCUGGUUUAAACAGUUUGCAGAUGCCUCACUGUAGGUUGAAUAGAAUUUUUAUUACUGGUGCCUUGGAAGUUACUUUAUGCUAGUAUUGUCAGUUUGUCACCAGCUACAUAAAGUUAACAUGAACCAGGCCAAUUUGAAUAAAUAAUGAUGCCUUUUCAUGCUUGCUGAAAUUUAACAUGGCACUGACUUUGCAUCUCUUAAUUGGUUUCUUUAAUGAAGGAACUUUCAUUUGUCUUUUACUUUAAUUUCUGCAGGUGUGGGAUAGGCGUUGCUUUAUCUCAAAAGGAAAAGCAGCAGGGGUCUUGAUGGGACAUCUAGAAGGCAUUACAUUCGUAGACAGCCGUGGAGAUGGGCGUUAUUUUAUUUCUAAUGGAAAGGAUCAGACUACCAAACUAUGGGAUAUUCGAAAGAUGUCCUCUAAUGCCAAAGAGUAGUAAUGUUACUGCUUCCUCCCCCUUUCACCCCAUGCAAACUUGCACACACAUAUUCCCUAGAUGUUUACUUACAUGUUUUUUAAUUGCUUUCCUCUAAGUUUAUAUUACCAUGCUGUAAGUUUGAAUCAUUCUUGUUUGGAGUUGAUCAUUUGAAAUUCUUAUUCCAUGUGACGAACUUGUAGUUAGCACUUUCUGUUGGUGGAUGAAGCUUGGGUGGAGCCAAGUGGGACUCAGAUUGAUGCUAACAGUUUUCAAGUUGUAUGCCUUGUUCAAUUUAUUGUAUAUGGUUUGUAUUGUGUCUUUAACAGACAACGAUUUUCUAUUUUGCUUAUUCUGCUUAGCAUAUACCUGAAACUGUCAAAUCUGGGUUUGGAGUUAGGACGGAAGACAUUUACUCUUACAAUAUGUCAUCUCAAGGGUGCAGCAUCCUCCAACUUGGCUUUGGAGGCCUCGCUCCUCAUCUUUUUAUAAAUUGUUUUCAGAAUGAAUAAACUUUUUCAGAAGUUUGGAUUUGCAGAUAAAGGCAAAUGGACUUUUUGAUGAUGAAUUAACAUGUUAAAGGUUUGGGGUGGGGGGGUUGGGGAUACACAUUUCUAAUUUAAAUUGCUUCAUGCACCUGUGUAUUGUAGAUCUGGGGUAGGGGGUGGGCAUACACAUUUCAAAUUUAAAAAUUGCUUCAUGCACCUGUGUAUUUUUAGAGCUGGUUUGAGUUUACAGUGUGAAAAGACAGAACUACGUGCUUAACCCACCAAAUUUUGGAAAAGAUCUGAUUUACCUGUACCAGAACUGAUUGAUGCUCUCCUGAAAUCAAUUUGGCUGCUGACUUGCCUCUUUUCAAACAGCACUCCAAGGCUUAGAGAUUCUGACUGGGAUUAUAGAUGGAUGGAGUACCCACCCCAUGCCAAAAUCUUGAAGCAUCCUCGUGAUCAGUCUGUGACCACUUACAGAGGUCAUUCAAUCUUGCGCACUCUCAUUCGCUGUUACUUCUCUCCGGAAUAUAGGUACUAGUCAAUUAAAUUUGGCGUAGUUGCCUCUGCAGAUAUAUGUUUUAAUUUCAGUUGUUGAAAUGCAUUUUUUCUGUCUUGAACUUCCUGUAAAGCCAGGCUUCAUGUUGGUCAAAGGAUUGACCCAGGGUGCUAUUCUUUCUGGUUGUCUGGAUUUACUGUCCAGACUACCCUAAAUUUAGUUUCUCAGAAACACAAAAUAACUUGAUGUUUUACUACCUGGUUGUGGCAGUUGAAAGUUUUCCAUCAGUAACAGAUUUUACCGUGUCAGUAUUCAGUUAAGUUAGAUAAAAUUUGUCUGAUGAAAUUGGCUUCUAGGUAGAAUUGGACAGGACCUACCACGCACACUGCCUGCUCAACAGCUUGUUUGGUUUAGGGCUUUGCUUUGUCAUGAUUAUAUUUUGUUUAUGGUAUUGAUGAUUGCAAGGGCUUCACCAAUUUGAUUAUUCUCUUGUUGCAGCACCGGCCAGAAGUACAUUUACACUGGAUCUAGUGACUGUUCUGUUUAUAUUUAUGAUCUGGUAUGUUUGUGAUAUUAGCUCUCUUCUUCAAAAUCAACAUCUUAUUUCUCUGGCAAUGCUUCGAUUAGUAGUUGAUGCAGAGAAAUGAGGGAAGUUUGUUAUUGUUUGUAGGUAAGUGGAGCCCUAGUUGCAACACUCGAUCAUCAUGAAGGUCUUGUAAGAGAUUGUAGCUGGCAUCCUCUGUACCCUAUGAUAAUCAGCUCUUCUUGGGAUGGUGUCAUUGCCAGAUGGGAAUUUCCUGGCAGUGGUGAAGCCCCUACUCCGGUGGUGAGACGAAGGUCAAGUCUGAGGCGGGAUCUCUAGGAAGAUCACUCACAGUUGAUUGUUCCAUGCAUGAUUUUUGCUACUUUUUCCGUAGUAUGUUGUGAUGCAUGGCUCUGUGUUAGUCAAGGUCACUCACGAGGUCACUGCUUCAAAACGAAAUAAAACGCAGUUGGUGAAGGUAAAAACAACAGGUUCUUUCCUGUUCUGUGCCAUUAAUACGGCCUGUAUAUAUGUAUGCCUUGUGACAACAAGCUGUGCUUCAUCACAUUGUUCCUGGUUGCAAACUGCAUUAUAAUCCUGCAGCCUACACUUUCUGUAAUCAUACUGACACUCUUGUCUUCGGAAAAGAAGCUGCUCCCAUGCGUGGGAGAAUAAAGUGAAUGAGUUACAUGCUGCUUUGUUGAAAUCUCUGGGUUUGUAGUUGGAAAUAUUUUGAGAACCACAUUAUAACUUAUUUUAGUGUUAAAAUAAAAUAACAAUAAUAAUAAUAAUAAUAACCUCUCAAUCUAAAAAAAAAAUAAAAUUGUUUUUAUAAGAAAAUGAAUUUAUUAAAUAGUGUUUGAUUAUUAUUAUAGUAACAGUUGAAUAAAGAAGACUUGUCUAUAAUUUCUGUUUUAAAAAUAAAUAAACUUAUUUUAAAAGUUAUUUUAGGAUAGAUUUUUUGUUUUUUUAUCUCCAGUUGGCUGAAGAAGGGAUAUAAUUGAACAAAUUAGUCAUACAAGUCCCAGUAGAUAAGGAAGAGCGAGUCCUCUCAAUGUUAUUGAAGGCUUGGUUUUUAACUUUAGAGUUCAUGUAAUUAGUUAUAUUAUAUGCAAACUAGCCCGAAUAUUUAUAUUAAUUAAAAAAACAGAACUGUUAUUAUGGAGUUUCUUUUAAAAAAAAUACAGUACACGCGCGGAUCAUCUACAACUUCAGCUUCACACACACACACGCUGACACUGCUCCAGUCGUCCUAUUUAGCGCUCAGAAACCAAAACCACCCGACAAAAACUCUCUUCUCUCCCUCUAAGAAUACUUAAGAAAUGGCAUCACCGACAACAAGAGUGACAUUUCGGCUAGUGGUGGCGAUUCUAGUAGUGACGCUCGUCCUCUUCUACGCCGGCCGCCCUCUCUACUGGAAAAUCUCCGCCACUGUUCAAGAGAUCCGCGAGAACAAACGCACCGUCAAACAAGGUCAGCCAGCCACCAAGCAGCUCUUUCAUUAAAUUAAUUUGAUUGAAUGAAUCUGUUAAUUGAGAAAUCUGUGUUACGUUACAGGCAUUUCUCAGUUUGUUUACGAAGCGCAGAAAUCGGUUGGCUGGUUUCACGACGAGUCCGAUUCUGGAGCCCGCGAGAACAGGAGAGCGAGGUCACUCUUUUAAUUUAAGCUUUUUAGGUUAUUAUUAUCAUCUGAAAGCUUUUCAAAAUAAAUUGCUUGGUUUGAGUAGAUCCGCUUCAUUGUUUGCUCUUGUUGUAGUAUCAGUAACUGUAAUCCAAGGAUUUUAUUGAAAUGAUAGCCAAACAUGUACCCCAAUUUAUUUAUUUAUUUACUAUUUUGUUGUGCUGAAUUUUAUCGGUAAGGAAAAAAAAAAUACAUCAGUAAAAUUAAUAUUGUUCUUUUUUAUAUUAUUAUUAUUAUUAUUAAGAUUUAUUACAUUGAUCAAUUGUUCAAAAGCAUGCUUUAGUGCUAAUAAUAGCCAGAACUCUACAACUCUUCAUAUCCGUCCUCCAUUAAAGCCUUGUUUCAAAAAUAUUUUUAAAAAGUAAAUAUAAAAUAUUAUUUUAAUAUAUCUUUAAAUAAAAAAAACAUUUUAAAAAGCAUUUACUGGGACAAUACUAAAUAAAAAUUAAAAUCUCAAUAUUGGAGCAGUCUUCUCUCUUCUUGAUAGCUAUUGACUAAUUGCAAGUAUGUCAAGGCCAUCACCAACAUUUUGGCACCUCAUCAAUUGGAGUCUUGUAUUCAUGCUUACUGUGUCGGCAUAGAUAAUUAGCUGUGUCAAUUAUUUUAAGAAAAUUAUGGAGACAACGUGUUAAAGUUGUCUCAAAUCUCAAUCUGACUCGCCAACAACCCAAUUAAUCAAAGAAGAGGAGUGCUUUAAUUUCAGGGCCCGUGAAAUUAGUCGAGGUGCGCGUAAGCUGAUCCGGACACCUACGUUAAACUAAAAAAAAAAAAAAAAAGAGGAGUGCUUGUUAAUACGGCCCGGGAAAAUACAAGUCCUCUAACUGUAUAUGCUAUGUUAUGAGUGAGAUUUUAAAUCAAUUUAUAAGAAAUAACAUUGAUGUGUUUUUAUGUAUUAUGAUUUCUUCUAGUUGUGGGAUGAAAAAAUGUUUAUGUUUAAUAAAAUAAAUUAAAAGAUGUAAGAAUUGAUAUAUUAAAAAAGAAUUGUGAAUAGCAAAUCUUCUUGGUAGAAGCAAAAGAUAGAUUGACAUGCAAAUAUUUUAUACUAGUUAUUAUUUUUAUUUUAUACGUUUUAUUGACAUGCAAAUAUUUUAUACGUUUUAUUUAUUUUAUUUUAAAGGCUAAUUAUUGCUGCUAAUAACAAAAGAUUUUUGUUUUUAUAAAUAUAUCAUGUGUCAUACAACUAAUUUAUAUAAAAUAUAAAAGAAAAAAUUGGAGACAAAUUAAAAUAACCUCUUCAAAAGAAUUAUGAAACUAGAUUUUUUUUUUCAAAAAAUCAAUCACUUUUCAGCUUUCAACUAAUCAAUCACUUUUAAAAAAAUUAAGAUUGAAGUUUUUAGAUCUUCAAAACUCAAUUUUCAGCUUGUUGUCCCUUGAAAACGCUUCAAAACAUAAUAAGAACCUCAACAAACCAGUUCCCAACCCUUAACACACUCCAAAAAAAUAAAAAUCAAAUGAAUUAAAAAAGAAAAAUUACUUGUAGCAUCCAGUUUAGUUGAAAUUGCAAUUACCUACUAAAUUAAAAAGAAAAAUAGUUUGCAUCCUCGAUCAACACAAGUUUCUAAAUUGAAUGAACUCCAACAAAAGACAAAUAAAAAAUUCUCUCUCCUCCAAACACAAUUUCUCCCUCUUUAAAUGUCAUUUUCUCUUUUUUUUCAUAAUGAUAUGAACCCAAAUUCAAACUAAAAUCUAGUAUUUUUAAUCGAUUUUUCUCUUCAUGUUAUUGAAAUCUCUCGCUUUUCUUGAAAUACAAUUAGUUAUAUAUUUUCAAAAGUCCAAAAAAAAAAACCCCAAAUUGAAGCUUAGAAAGAACCCUAAUUUUUUAAUGUUUGUCAAUUUAUUGGUGAAAGCAAAUUGAUUCCAAGCAAAACAUAUAAAAACUCAUUUUCCGAGAAAAUUCAAAUAUUUUCUGGGAAAAUCUCUAUAUGAUCUUUUUGAUUCUCUAUAAAUCCACCUCUUAUCGAGUCCUUACUGAAAAAAUUAUAAAAUCUUUGAAUACUGGAUUAAGAUGGCAGCACCACCACUAAUCUGAUGAUAACAAUGAUGAUUAUGCUUGCCCUUUUGAUUCUGGGAGUGAAUUCACAGUCCAACAUUCCCUUUGUAAAUUACAAAGAACAACCUCUGUCUUAAGAGAAAGAAAGAGACCCCUUUGCUUAUUGAGUAGUGAAAAAUGAUAGUAUAGAGAAAAAGUUGAUUGGUUGUUUACCAAUUAACAACAUAGGAUGUUUGCAACAUUUUUUCUCUAUAUACGAAAUUCAAAAUUCUUGACCAAGCCCCUCUCAUUUUUUAGCUUAGAUUAAGGGCUUAAACUCAUUCCAGUGAGGCUUCAAACCUAGACAUGAUCUCCUUUUUUCUCGAGCCAAAUUGCUAAUGGUAAAUUCUUUUAUUAUGAUUUUAAGAUUUAAAUGAAAUAAAAAGCCGAUGUCUUGCAGAAAACAGGUGGGGUUUCUUAUGCACAAUGCCAAUAAAGAUCAUCAAAAAUCAAUCUUGACAGAAGAUUGCAAAACAUUGAAAGACAUAAGAAGAAAAAAAAAGAUAGUGGAUUUGGAGUUCGACUGGAUUGUGGGUUUGCUAAGGUUGUGGGUUUAUGUUUGGAGAUCGCGGUUGGUGAGGGAUUAAAGAAAAAGGGAAGGUGGCAUUUAGGUUUAGUGUUUAGGGGAGAAGAUGGCUAGAACUGUUUUUUUUUUAAUUCAAUGCAAAGUUUAUAAUAUUUAAUAUAAGAGUUUUUUAAUUAUUAAAUGAAAAAUAAUAGCAAACAUGCAAGCUUUUUUUUAGUGCGCCAGGUACAAGAUGUAAAUUGUUAUGUGCGCACCAAAGUUUAGGGUGCAAACUAUAUUUUUUUCAAAACUCGGUAGGCAAAUUCAAUUUCCACCAAACUAUAGGAUGUUAGGGGUCAUUUUCCAAAAAAAAAAAAACUAAAUAGACCCCUUUUGUUUUUUUGUUAUAGUUAUAGAGAAACACAACCUACAUUGAGCUCCUUUCAGAAAAAAAAAUCCAUUCACAAAAAUAUUGGCUUUUUUGUCGCUGAAAUAUGGCCAUCAGAGCAUUUUAUCUCUUUUUAAGAAUUUUCAGCGACUUUCUCUCUCAUCUCUCAACAUUUAAAAACUAAAAUGUGAAAAAAAUUAUUGAAAUCAAAACAUGAAUUUCCAAAAGAACAAGGACUCAAAGAUAGGAAAUCUUAAAUUUGCGGGAUAAAACUAAAGUUUUCGUGUCAAAAUCUAAAUGAGACAUGUUUUGUUGUUUUUUUUUUUUUCAAAUGUAAUCCGUGUUCUUUCAAUUUCUAUUUUCAAUCUUAAUUAAAUUUUGAUUUCACAAAAUCAAAGUCUAAUUCAUUAUCAAACACAUCUCAAGACUUAAAACAUGCUAGAUAAUGCAAAUUAAAAGAAAUGUAAAAAAAAUAUGUUAUCGUAACUUUAAAGGAUGAAAUUGAAAAAAAUUAAAAGAUUAAUGAUCAUAAAAACAAAAAGCACUGUUUAAAAUAAAUAAUGCAAUCUAUAGCAACACGAGUCUUAAGCAACUGUGAUUCCAUGCGUAGUGAUUUCCCCAUCUAUUUUAGUUUAUUUACUAAUUAUUAAAUCAAAACUAUUUUAUGGAGAAAAUUUUAUGGAAAUCACAUAUAUAGAAAAGUUUACAAAGAACACAUGAAGAAAGUGUAUACUUUUUUCAUUCAUUGAGAAAUAUUAGAGUAAAACAAUUGGUCGUCUAAUGGUGAUAUAAUAUGAAUGUCAUACAUGAAGGAGAUUAUUUUUGUUGGUGUAGGUGUUGGCUUUGUUCACUUUGGUAUUUUGUAAGGUUCAUUCCAUUUUGAAAGUGAUUUUCCUUUUUUUUUAAGUUGUUCAUUUUGGUCUAUUUUUUUUCAUGACCAUGUCCUCCAUCUUGAAUUGUCUAUUUUUGACUUUUGAAUUAUGAUAUUAGAUUGUCUUUUAUGUGUAAGUCUAGUACAUAUAGGUUUGUCUAAGUAUUUUUUUCACCCUUCUCGGGAGAAUAGUACAACACUUUGUAGAUGAUGGAUCUGAUCUCAGCUAUUAUCAUGGUUUCACUACCAUAAAUGAGGAGAAAUGAUGUUUUCUUCGUAAAGGACUUCUUGGUGGUUUUGUAUUCAUAAAGGAUUUAAUUAAAGAGAUUUGACCAUUUUCAUUUUGCUUAUAAUUUUUUUAAAUCAAUUUAAGAGAAUCAUGUUUAUGAGUUUAAUUUGCUUGUUUGUUUAGGGAUGGGACAUGAAGGAGAAUCUAUGAUUUAUAUGUAGCAUAUAACAAUGAUUCUUUUUAUUUUUAUUAUCUAACUUGGUCUUGUUGUCUGUAAUUAAGACUUUUGACAACCUAAAAUUACAAAUAAUAUUUUUUUUUUCUAUAUGAAGAAGAUGACUUUACUAGCAGUUAUCGUGGUCAAGACUUUAAUAUAUACUUAAUUGAUAAAGUAAUCCAUAACAACUAAGAAAAACUAAUUUUUUUCAAAUUGGUCCUAACAAGAUCUUCAUCCCUUAUUGAGAGAAAAGCUAAGGUGAGGUGAUGACAGUUAUUUCUACUAAGGUUUGGUGGUAUAGUAGAGCAAAUAUUUAACACUUAUCACACAAUUUAACUAGGUCUAUCAUAUUUUGAAUAGGCCAAAAGAAGUUUGCUUAGGUUAUUUAAGGUGUUAUAAGGCCUUUGCAUCCAUGUGUAUGCCAUAAACCUAUUCAUAGAUCUCCCCAACACAUCUUGGCUUUUUUUUUAGAGACAUACAUUUAAGGGGUUGAGUUAUUACUAACCAUAUAUAUGGCUCACCAUCUAUUAAAUAAUAUCAUGCACAUCUUCUUAUAAAGUAGAUGACUUCAUUCCUAGUUAGGGAGAGAUCCAUUGUCAACAAAUAUUGUUUGAUAUAAAUUAUUUAAUCUUCAUCAUUGAUAGUGACUUGGAUGACACUUAGGAGUUCCUUAACAUAUUUGAUGUUUAACAUAUCUAGAACUUCUAUCCAAACAUAAAAAAAAGAGCUCUAUAGAAUCAAAGAUUGUCAAUUUUAACAAAAGGUCAACCCUGUCAUUUUCUUGUUUGAGAAUCAUGAUGAUGGAGAUUGUUUUUUCUUCUUCUUUCCUAGUAGUGAAAUGUUCUAGUGUCUUUUGCUAUGAUUUAAUCAUAAAAGGUUCUUUAGCAUCAAAUUAUCCCUCAUAUUGAACCACUAUCAAUUGUGAGUCGUGGUAUAUCUAGAGGGGAUAAAACUUAAAACUUUAACUAAGCUAAGCGUGACUAAAAAAGCUUUGUAUUCAAUGGCGUUGUUGGAGGACGAAAAUUCAAAAUGGUGUCCUUAUUCAAAAAUAUAUUCUUUGGAACUUAUCAAUACAAUCCUAACCUCACACCUCUAAAUAUUGGAGUACGCGUCCACAUAUAGCCUCCAUAUGGCCGGGGUAUCAUUAACACGAGUCUUGUAUCUUAUUCAUGUAUUGGCAAUUUCGUGAAAAAGUACUUUAUAAUGAAAUUUGGCAAAGAUUGGGCUUUUAUAGCCAGUCUUGGCUAGUACUAGAGACCAUACUUUCCUUACUCAAUGACUCAUUAGACCAUUUAUCUUGAUAUAUUUGGUUUUUAGAUAAUUUAUCUAAGAGGUUGGUCGGUCAAGACAAUCACUUGGUGUGUUUAGAAAUAAAGCUUUAACUUUAUUGUUAUGCUUACCAAUGUUAAGGCCUUCUUCUUUACCUUUACGCAUCUAGUAUUAACAUCAUAAAGAGUUUUUCUAGUGUAAUAAAUUGACUUUUAUAUCUCAUCCUCCUCCCUAACUAGAACGAUGUUAAUGGUCGAGUCUGCCACCCCAAAAUAGAAAAAACAAUUUUCACCUACUUUGAGUUGAGAUAUAACUUUUGAAGACAAGUGUACUUUGAAAUAUUUAAAAGUCUUUUGUCAUUUUGGAGUCCAUUGGGAGUGGUUAGUAUUUUUUAAUGUUUUGAAGAACGACAAAUAAUUUUCUCUUAGGUGAGAAAUAAAUUUGUUGAAAGCAACCAAUUUUCUGGUGAGUCUCUAUACAUCUUUCACAUAUUAUGGAGGUUUCAUGUCUAAGAUGGCUUAAACCUUCUCGAGAUUAGGUGUUAUCCUUUUGUUAGUGACCAUAAAUCUCGAGAACUUUCCCCCUUUAAUAACAAAGAUACAUUUGGUUCGAUUCAAUUUUCAUUUAAUAUUGACGAAGAAUAUAAAAGACCUUUUAUAGAUUUGGAAGUGGUGUUCAAAAGUCAUGCUCUUUAUUAGUAUAUCAUUCAUAUAAGCUUUCAUGUCCUUGACCAAUUUGUCUUUGAAUUAUUGAUUCACCAUCCUUUAAGAAAUGGCUUUUGUAUUCUUAUGCUUAAAUGACAUGACCUUAUAACAAAGUUUUCUAUAUUAUCAUGAAAGACAUCAUUUUUAUUGUAUCUAAGGUACAUAGAAAUUUGGUGGUAUCCUAAGUUAGCAUAUGAAGAGCUUGAGAACUCAAAGCUCGUCAUGGAGUCUACUUUGUCAACUUUUGGUAAGGGAAAAUUAUCCUUUAGAAAAGCAUUGUUGAGGUUGUUGAAGUCACUUAUCCAUUCUCCAUUUACCUUCUUCACCACGACCAUAUUGGCAAGCCAUUCAAAGUUUAUCAUCUCCCAAAUAAAACUACCCUUAGGAGUUUAUCCAUCUUCUUAAAUAUCAUCUUAUCUUUUUCACUAAUUUAUUUUGGUGAAUAUGAGGGAAAAAGGUUAACAUUUGACUUGUGGAUGACCACGCAACAUUUGACAUAUAUAGGGGCUCGAAUGAGAAAUUAUCUCUUUGGAUUUUGAGGAGCUUUGUCAAGUUUUUUUCUUCUACUUGGGAUCUUAUCAUUCUCUUAGAGGUUUACUUUUUAUAAUUUUUAUAUCAUUUUGAUACAUGUUUCCUUUCUUUCUUUCAUAAACCCUUCUUAUGUUAUUUGAUUCAUUCAAAUUUUUUUAUAAAAAAUCACAUGGUCAAGUACAACAUGUUGAUGACAAUGCUGAUUUCAUGGAGGAAUGGUUUUUCAAUGAUGACAUUAUAGACCAAAUAUAUCUUCAUCAUCAUAAAAGUCUAUUGGAGAGUUAUGUACUUAUAAUACGUAUCAAUGGUGACAAGUAUCUCAAUGACACCUAUGUAUUUUUUUUAUUCCAAUCAAUAGCUUCUUGACUAAGGUUAAUCUAGAGUUGCCUAUCCCUAUUUUACUCAUUACCGUUUAAGAGAGAUUGUUCAUCACACUUUUAGCACCCAUCAAAACUCAAUGGACUUGAUGCUUGAAGAGGAUGGUGUUGAUCACUAAUGCAUCUUCAUGGAUGAAAACCACCCCUUCCUCAUCUUUUAAAGUUAACGCAAUUGGUUCGUUCCAUGGGUUUGGGCAUGGGAAACAACUAGAACCUACUUUUUAUAAGCUCUUUUCUCUUGACUAUAAUAUCAUCCUACUAAAAGCUCGUCUAGGAUCAUAUUGAUCUUAGCCCAUGCCUCAUUAUUUGCACUAAGUAUUAUUUUUCAUAAACUAUUGAAAAUGGCUCUUGAAUUUUUAUAGACAAGUCGUUUAUAAAUCUUUUUAAAAGAAAUUAAAGGGAUGACAACAUGCAUCUACCCCCUUAAUUAAAAAAAUAAAAUAAAAUUAGGGUCAGUUGUGAGGGCUUAGAGACUUGCUACAUGUGGGUCGUGUUGGGCUGGCCCUUUGCUCUUUUUUUUUUUUUUAGUUUGUUCUGUUUUUUUAAUUAUUAUGUAUCUAAUAAUAAUAAUAAUAAUAAAAUUGUUUAUGAAAAUUCGAUUGAAAUCAAUGUUCUUAUUAUUAAGAAAUUUAAAUAUAUUUUGAACAUAAUUUUAUCAAUUUUUUUUUAAUCUUUUGAUCACAUAAAAUAUGGACAUAUUAUUUUGUUUUGACUUCGCUUUAACAAUUAUAAAAUGUUUUUAUCUUCAAUAUAAACAAUGAUUGCAGUUAAAAACAUUGUAUUGAUUAAGAUAAACAAGAAAUACAUUAAUAGAAAAAUUUAUUUUCAUAAAAAAAUUUCAAAACAACUAUAUUUUCAGAGUUAAUGCCUAUACCAAAGAAUUUUCCGAGACUUAUAUAAAAAAAAAUUAAAAUGAUAGUAUUUUCAAGAUCUAUUUACAAGGGAAAAAAUAUAUUUUUGUGGAACCCCCAAAUGAAAGUGUAUUAAUUCUGUGUUUAGAUUCAAUCUCUCCUUGACCUUUUCAAGUUUUGGGAAAAUAUCGAGGUAUAUGGACACCAUUUUGCUUGACUAUCGCAUAAUAUGGAUGAAUUCUUGGCGACGAGUCUCUCUGUCCGGUCCUUUAAAAGACAACGGCCAAAUUCAAGAUCAAGAUUUUGGUCACUCUGUGUAUCAAAAUCUUGAAAAAUAAUAUAAUUAUUAAAUUGAAUUGAAGGAUUAACUCUAUAUCCCAAAUGUCAAAAACCCCUCAUUGUUCGUCUAAAAACUAAUCAUACUUCAAAUGUCUUUUCUCCCCUUAAAUUCAAAUUAAUUCUUUGAAUAUCGUUCACGAUCCUCGCAAGACAUGAAAUAUUAAUAACAUGUUUUUUUGGGAGCCAAGGAUUGCUCAAUUAUAAUUGCCAAUUCCUAGCACAAAAAGGUCAAUAAUGGAUAAUGGUAUCCCAUAAUUUUUUUAUUUUCCAUUAUGGACUCCCAAUGGUGCUCGAGCAUAACUUCAUUACGUGGCCUUCCUCCAUUAUUUAGGUGCGUUUGUUUUACACCUGUUUUUGUAUUUGUGGUGUAAAAAACACAACAAAAUGUUUCGUAACUGUAAAAACUGUGUUUUAUACUGUGGGGUGCACUAAAAAAUUAAGUUUGAAACACAGUUUUCAUAAAGCAAUUUUUACAUGCUUUUUUAACCGAGAUUCGUAAAAUACUGUUUGUUUUUGCGUUUCAAAAGCGCUUUUGAAAAAUUUGAUAAUUUUUUAUUUUUUUAUUUGCUUCAAAUUAAUAUUUUUUGGUGUUUUUAGAUCAUUUUGAUGCGUUGAUAUCAAAAAUAAUUUUUUAAAAAUAAAAAUACAUUAUUUUAAUGCAUUUCCAAGUAAAAAAUACUUUAAAAGCAACCGCAACCAUAUAACUACCAAACAUUUUAAUAUAUGUUUUUUGCUGCACAUAAGCCUCAACCACAAUUUUUGUCAAACACGUAUCUAAAUCCAACUAACCACAUCUAAUCAUGCUUUUUUAAAACUUAUUUUUUUAAAACUACAAUCAUAAAAUCUAGCUCAAAAAUAAAUAUACUUUUAAAGGAAACAUACUUUUAAAGGUAAUAAAGUGUGGUUUGACCGAGAUGGAGUACAAGUGGUAGAAAGCAAAGCUUCUUUUAGUGCACACACCAUUGCAAAACACAAUUAGUAAUGAUUCUGUAAUCUUCUGUUCUCGCUUUUUGCUCUCUCUUUAUCCCCUUUUAAACACUCUAUUUAUCCAAUAAAGUCCAUUAAUUCAUUCAAUUGUUGGAAAACAAUUUAGCAUGUUGAUAUACAUUAUUAAAGCCGUCAUGAUCUAAUCUAAAAAAAUUAUAAUUUAGAGUUUAAUUCAAAUUGGAUUCUAAUCUAAAAAAAUUAUAAUUUAGAGUUUAAUUCAAAUUGGAUUUUAAGCUGAACUAAAAAUAUUAUUGACUCAAUGAAACCCAUUAAUCGAAGGAGUUUUUAAUAAUUCAAUUGAUUUUAUUUAAAUUUAAAAUAGUCAAAAUCAAGAAAUUAAAAACCAUGUAUUUUUAAUAAAAAUAAUUGACCUAUUGCACAAUACACCAAUAAUCUAGACUCUUUUAUGAUUUAAUCCGAGAAUCAGAUCCGACAAAUAUGGACAUCCAAGUCUCAACUCCAACGGCUAAAACUGAAAAAACAAAACGGACAAACCACGUGGGAAACGCAUAACAGAACAAUGUACAUACGUAGGAGCGCACAAAGUCUCUUAAUUCUACUGUUGAAAAUAAUGCAUGAAGCUGCUUAUAUAAUUAAGAACUUAAACCAAAUCUUUGUAAUCUGGAAAAAUCUAAACUGUUAAUUUCUUUAUGUUAAUUCUGAGUCCUAGCUAACUAGGAAAAUCAAAACAAGAUUAUGUACCUUAACUAGGAAAUAAAUUCUAAUAUAACUAGGAAAAAAUUCAAACAACUUCUACUAGAUGAUCAUCAUGCUUGAUUCUAGUUAAUGUUCGAUCACAAUUGAUUGAUCAUGGUUAAUUAUUAUCUAAUGCGGUUGAUUCUAUUAAUAGAAAACCUUGUUGAUGCAUCCAAACUUUUUCUUGAGCUUCAUUUUUCCUCAUCUGAAAACUUAUUCUUAAGUUCUGGCCAUUAAUAUUAGCAAUCACAUGACUUGAACCUGAGAUUACAGGGAAGCAAACCUCUUAAUUUCAAACUCUUUUCUCUAGGUCACCUACUAGAUGGUUUUACCAUAACAAUUUUGAUUUCUAGUCAAAUGCAUAUUUAAAAACACUCAGAAAGUUGCAUCAUCAACAUCUUUUUCAAUUUGUUUCCAAUUGGAUCAUCACCACUAGACUCUAGCCCCACAUAUUUGUUCUUCAAGAUUUGUUUCAAACUCUCCGGCUCAUUGGUUUGUUCCUUAUAUAAGCAAGUAUCUUCAAUUGUCUUUGAUCAAUUAGAAUUUUGUGGGUCAGCCAAUAUUUCUCCUUCUUGCAUGUACUUGUCAAUGUUUUGAAUUAUGAUUUUAGUCUCACCAUCUGUUUUCAUGGAGAGUAAUGUACUUACUUGAUGGUAUCUGAUUUUGCUAUUUAUUCUAAUCUUUUCUUUUCAGGAUUGUCUAACCUGAAAGACCCUCAUUUUCUUUUAAUGCUUCAAGACCAGCUUGAGAAUCAGUAUAGAAUGCUCAUUUAGGAGCUUCUUUGAUUUUUUAUUUACAAUUGAUACUUGAAAUACCUACUAGCAAAGCAGUGUUCAUAGCUUGUUUGACAAAUCCUAUUUUUUCCAGAAUCUUGUUCAAAUAAAAGUAAGUUUCUAUCUCUAACAACCGUUUAAUAAAUUCUUUUUUUCUGGUGAGAUUUUGGAGCUUUUAGUCUCAUCAUUUGGAUUUUGAAUCUUAAGCAGUAUAUUUUGUCACACUUUGUGGGGUUGAUCCAGACAGAAAACAAUUUCUUUGUCUGAUUUUUGUGGGUAUUUUUUAUUUUAUCAAGAAGAUCUCUUUGUGGGGUUGAUCACGAGUACUGUUGAGAUAUUUCACAUUUUCCAUUCCAUAUGUUGCAAAUCGUUGAAUAGUCUAAACAAUUGUGAUUAUAUAUAUACAUGUUCCCUUAAAGCGUGAAUGGUUAAACAAGAUCCAAUCUUGAUCAAUUCACCAAGCCAUAACAUGUCCACAUUCAAGGCCGACAAGAUGGAGCACUCGCAACUGGAUUUUCCAGGAGGAUCAAAGGAAAUUAUAAAAUUGGGAAGGAACCGACAAUGGCAAGUCGAAGCACGCCCGCCCUACACAAAAAGAAGUGCGAUCAUGCAUGCUCUUUCAAAAUAUAGAAAUAUUUUUGCGGCAUGAUGUUCCUGCUCACAACAGUACUGUCACACACUCCCUUUCUCCUUCAGCUUUUACUACUAUGUUUCCACAUUUUCCUUAGCAUAAAUCGGUGUAGCUCCAUAGAUUAGGUUCUGAAUUUGCUUUUCAAGUUUCACAAACUUGAGAGCCAUUAGAGAUUUAUAUGAUUAUUAACUUCAAAACUCGUAAGAUUAGUUAAGGUGCGCGCAAGCUGGUUCGGGAUGUUUUGACCCGUAAGUUUCACAAAAUUAUGUUUUGACCAUACCACUGUGUAGAGGAGGAAGAGACGAAGCCAUUGGUGAAAACGGCGUCAAAAUCAGACGUCGGACAUGGCCGCACUCUCCAUCACUCUCCGGCAGGGCGUCUGCCCACGCGCGCAGACGGGCCCCACGCGUCUUCUUCGCCCGGAUGGGCUGACCCGACCCGAAUACCAGUUGACCCGACCCAUGUGACUGACCCGGAUAUUAAUGACGUCUGCAUGACAUAAUUGUGAUGUCAGCAUGCACAGUAGGCAUGACAGGGAUGGCAUCAGCAUGAUGUAAUUGUGAUGUCAGCAUACACAGGUGGCAUGCCAUGUCAGCGACCAGUCAGCUGACACGUCAGCACAGUGGGACCCACCUGCCACGUCAUCAGCCGCGAGCCGAGCCGAGCCAAGUCGAGCCGAGUGCGCCGAGCCGAGCCGCGAGCCGAGGGACAGGAUCCAGUGUAGCGGAUCCUACGUGCAACCGGAUCUGAGAUUGAAUCUGGGCCGUUCAUCAGGCCAGAAUUGUUUUGAUCAAAUCUUAGCUGUCUGAAAUGCGAUUUGGACGAUUUCAGACUUGUUUCCAGCUAACUUGAGGGAAGGCAAAAUUGGGACACUCCGGACACCCGAUCAAGUGGACAAUUAGAGGUGUAGAGUGAAAACUGAUGAAGACCAAUCUUGACGAAUCUAAGAACUGGUAGUCUCGCCAGAUGUUGAGAAAUCAUGUAUUAAACCAGUAUAUUCCAGAUCACUUGUAAAGGAAAGCCGCAACAAAGCUAGCAAAUGGUUAUAUAUACGGAAAGACAGUACGAUGGAUAGAUAUGGCCUAAGAAAUUCUGUCUAGGAGAUUGGGUUUUAAGCGGGACCAGUGUGACCCCUCCAAUCUUUCCUGGGAACUUGCUUAGUGGAAGGAUUAUCCAUACGGUACUAUUUUCGUAUAUAUAGCAUUUUGUAAUGAAACAGUUGAAGACUAGCAGGAUGGCGGCACAACGGAACAGUUGGGUUCCGUGUGAUCAAGGAUCUGAUGGAGUGGUGAUUUCUCCAAAGAAGUUAGAUUCGGUGACUGUGAUUUCUUGAGGGAGAAUUGAUGAAGACCCUGAUAAUGGAAGAGAAAUACAGCAGGGGAUAAAGAUUGGCACCCUAUUUUAACUUGGAUAGGUGUUAUGACAGGAUGAGCUGCUGUCAAACAUAAGCAAGGAAUAGGGGAAAAUCUGGAGAACAGAAAUUGCACGAGGGCACACGGAGAUUGUGCAGAGUACCCGUAGGAUCCAACGAGGUACUGUAAUGAGACAACAGGUGCAAGGAGAAGAAGAGUUACCAGAUGAAGCUCAGAGCAGAGACUGUGUGAAAAAUUGUACAACAGGAAGUCUCUUGUGCUCUUAAUGAAGACAACAGGCGAAGACCUUUCCAAUACAUGCAAGGAUGGAAAGAGAGCUGUUGCAGAGGCACCUAAUUAAGGGGGUGCAAAUGCCUGUGAUACAAGGCAACCGCCUAUGGUUAAAGGCGAAGACACCAAAGAGAGUUGGUGUAGGUGGAGUUGUUAAGCAGAAAGGCACAGAAGCUCCAAACAUAGAAAUCGAGGUGGAGGAUUGCGAGGAGUAUACCGCAACUUUCUCUUUCUAUGUAGUUAGUGGCAGUAAUCUCUCCCAUAGUGCACAUGGUGGUAGAGACUUUUGGAGCCACUUUGAAGCAUCUCAGCUGAAGGAGGAUGCGACCACCUAUGAAAGGUGAAGACACCUUAGAUGGAAGGUGUGUGUGUGGGCUGUGCUAAGAGCCCCGGAUCAGACCGCCCCAUGACAACGGGCGAAGACACCUUAGAGAAGGUGUAUGGGCCGUGAUAUGAGCCCAAGAUCAGACCGCCCCAUGACAACGGGCGAAGACACCUUAGAGAAGGUGUGAGGGCCGUGAUAGAAGCCCCAGUUCAGACCGCCGUAUGAUGAUGAGCGAAGACACCUAAGGAGAAGGUGUGUGGGCCACGAUAUGAGCCCAGUUCAGAACAACCCCAAAGCCGAUGUGAUGGCUAAAUAUAAGUGGACAGGUGUAUGGAUAGCCAAUGAAGUGGCUAUGAUGAGUAUGAAGACAAAUGUAGGAUUGACUUUCAUGGAUAUUGCCCCCAUGCUAAAGAUCAAUGAGCUAGAAGACAUUUGCCUUGGACAAUAAGUGUGUGACUUGUGGAGCAUUAAGACGCGGCUGCUAUGAAGAAGCAGAAGGGCAUGCGCAGGUUCCGAGAACGAGUUGACUCUUGUCAAGGUGGUGAGCUCGGUAAUGGCAUUGUAAUACUCAGACUAUGAAGACAGAUAUGGAUCAAUCUUUAAUGGGCUGCCCCCAUGGUUAAAGGUGGAGAGCUACCUGGACUCUUACGACUAAGAGCGAGAGACUCAUGAAGAAGUAAGGCGUGGUUCCUAGGGUGGAACAGAGGGCAGGCGCAACUCCUGGAUGAGUAGACUCUUGGAAGAGUGGUGAGCUUGUGAUCACAUUGAAAUACUCAAUGAUUGUCGCACUUGGGAAUAUUCGUUUGAGGGGGUGUUGUAAGCCUUGGUGUAAGGCUUGAAAAAUCAUUCCGGACCGAGCAUGAUUGAUACGCUCGAAGGGGAAUGUUGUGUUGAAGACGCUCUUAGAAUGGAAGCUUGGAAGAGCUGCAGAAGGCAAGCUUGUGCUGAAGAAGCAAGAGGACAAUUGCCACACAAAUGGCAAAGGGGGUGAUUGUUAGGAUAUUGCCAUUUAGUGGCAAUACCCCACCACUAAGCAAGUGGUUGCUCCAUUAAUGCCACAAAUGGUGGCAUGCUUUAAGGCAUCAUUGGCCCCUCCAUGUUGACCAUGAAAUGCCUAUAAACGAGGCAUAUUUGUGAGAGCAAAAUGUGAGAGAAUUGUGAGAGUGAAGUGACGAGAAGAAGAGAGAAAGAGGAGCUGCUGCCAUGGGCAGCAGCCCUGCUGCCAUAUGCAGCAGAGUGUGUGAGCUGGGAGUUGAGUGAUCCUCCUCCAUGUAUUUAUUGUAUCCUUUCUCUAUCUCUAAAUAAUAUGGACUCUCUCCCGUGGAUGUAGGUGAUUUGCCGAACCAUGUUAAAAUAUUGUGUCAGUGUGCUUACCCUCCAAUGAGCAACUAUCAGAACACCCCCGGUCCGCGCAUGGGGGAGCCAGAUUCCCCCAACACUUUUUACCAUUUGAAACCUCAUAUGAAAUGUCAUAUAUCUUUUUCAUGCAGAAAGGGAGAAGUAGAACUUUUAUGAUCAUAAUUUUAAUACAUCUUUUGCAGAGCUAUUUCAUGUGGGGCUCCUUUAUGUCUGGUGUGGCAGUUUCUACCAUGCGUACAUCGCAUAACCAAAACGGAGAAAAUGAAUUUGCUGAAAUGGAGUAUAUGAACAUAACAGUGGUGACUUCAAAUGAACCGUAUGGGAGAAAUGAUUGCCCGAACCCACUCUUUGAUGGCCGUAAAGUUCCGAGUUUAAUAUAAAGAAAGGUGGAGUGCACAGUGGUCAUGUUCAGACUGGUCUUCAAGAUCCAUUUUGCGUUGUGCAAAAUGGGAAAGGAAAAUGCAAGGCAAAUCGCUUUCUUUAGUGGAAACACGCCAGCCAACUUCUGUAUUUAAAAGAGCUACCUCUCAUUUCUUUUCAGCUCACCCACCCAACGGUUUGCUUGCUUUCUUCAAUCCAAUUGGCUUUGGCAUCGGGAAAAUCAUUUCCAGCUUGUUUCUUAAACUUUCAGACAAGCUCAAGUCCUUUGGUUUUCAUGAGAGUAAGGCUGACGCGUCUAUAUUUGUUUUAAAACAAAAACAACUAUUGUAUACAUUCUCGUAUACGUUGAUGAUAUCUUAAUUAAUAACGGGUUCAAGUUCAGAUGCAAUCCAUACUGUAAUUCAAUCUUUACAGAACAAAAUAGCUGAUGUAUAUGCCAACCGGUUACAGUCUCUCACUAUUUCUUAACAAUAACAAUAAGUAAAUUGAUACAGAAUCGCUCUGUAAAGGAAUCUCUUCAAUUUGUAUUUCAAGAAUGCAAUUGCAAAGAAUACAUCAAAUUGAUUUUCUCUUGUUCUGUUCCCCUUUUUAAAUACCUUACAACUAAGGAUGUAGUCUAAUACGUAAGUGAAACGUAAUACUAAUUUAACUAGGAACUAACAGCUAUUCUAGGAAAAUAAUAACUACAGCUAAUGAGUUCUAAUCAGGUUCUGUCAAGAUUCUUUGAUUUCCCCACGUUUCCGUAUCCUAGUAGGAUUUAUGCAUUACGGGGUCUCUUCUCAAGCCUCCUGAUUUGCAUCAAUUGCCGAAUCCCCUGAAGAACUUGACUCCGGCAAGUAACGAUGAACAUAUGCAGCAAAUAAUUCUGGGUGUAGUCGCUGAAGCUCCGUGCCUUUGAUCCAGGCUGAGUCUGAAAGGGAUUGAUGUCUCCAUUGAACUAAGAAUUUAUAAUAACCCCCGCGACGUGUAGAGACAAAUUGAUGAUCACUGAUGGAGGCAAUGUCCUCCUGUGGUGCACUGGUUGUAGGGACUUUAGGAAGGCAUGCUGGCAUGUCCUCUGCCUGUGACCUAUGAUCCUGAUCAUUUAUGUUGCCUUUAAACGCAGUGAUAUCCUCAAUGUUAAAAAUUGGGCUAAUACCAAAUUCUGAAGGUAAGUCGAUGACAUAAGCAUUGUUACCCAACUUUUUAGUGAUCUGAAAAGGUCCUGCACGUUGCACAUGCAGCUUGGUGAAACUUCCGGGAGGAAAGCGUUCUGGUUUUAGGCGAACCAACACCAUGUCACCGCUAUUAAAUUGUCUGUCUUUGCGUUUAAUAUUGGCAGCAACUGCAUAUGAGUCAGUACUGUGGGAUAAUCGUCUUUUAAUCUCCGCAUGAACAUCUUUCAUGUGUUCAGAAAAAUCAAGGCCAGCUUCACUUGGUCUGGGAGGCAACAGUAAUGGAGUGAGAUCCAUGGGAGUAUAGGGUCGUCUGCCAUAUACUGCUUUAAAAGGAGUGCAUCCUGUAGAUCUAUUCACAGAAUUAUUGAUAGCAAAUUCUGCAUGGGGGAGUAUGAGAUCCCAGCUGGUUGUAUGGUCAGCAAUGAGGCAGCGCAGUAAGUUUCCUAAGCUUCUGUUGACUUCGGUCUGACCGUCGGUUUAGGGGUGGAAUGCACUAGAAAACAUUAACUUUGUUCCCAUUUUUGUCCAUAAGGUCUUCCAAAAGUAGCUAACAAAUUUAACGUCUCUAUCGAAUACAAUAGAGAGUGGCACACCAUGUAGUUAGAUUACUUCUUGUAGGAAUAAGACUGCCACUUUGGAAGCAUCAAAGGUCUUGUUGCAAGGGAUGAAAUGAGCCAUUUUUUAGAAUCGAUCCACUACUACCAUAACUGAGUCAUGUUGCCGAACAGUCCUGGGUAAUCCUAGGACAAAAUCCAUGCUAAUGUGCCGCCAUGGUUGGUCAGGUGUUGGCAGGGGCGUGUAGAGUCCCGCUUGGUUCUUUGUACCUUUAUUUAGUUGACAAAUUCUGCACCGAUCAACCACUUUGUGUACAUCCUUAUGCAGUCGGGGCCAGUAGAACCGAUCAGCAGCCAAGGCAAAGGUUUUGUCAUAACCAAAAUGUCCAGCUAAGCCACCACCAUGAAGUUCUGUGAUGAUGAGCUCGCGGAGGGAACCUCUGGGAAUGCAUAGUCUAGUACCAAAAUAUAAGUAUUCGUCCCUCAAGGAAUAAUUACCUCUUGUUAUAGUGAUUUUGGACUUUAAGUUGCUCCAUAUUGUGCCAAAAUCAUCAUCAUCCAUGUAAUGGUUUGAAUCAACGCAUAAAAUUCCAUAUCGUACGCUGAAUAUCUCCGACGGGUGUCAUUAAGCUUUUCGCUGUAGAAGGCAAUGGGAUGACCUUCCUGACUUAGAACUCCCCCGAUUCCUAUAUGUGAAGCGUCACAAGCCACCUCAAAGACUUUGGAAAAAUCCGGAAGUUUCAGAACUGGUGCAUGUCUUAGUUUAUUCUUAAUCUCGUCAAAAGCUCUGUUGGCUGCUGCUGUCCAAGUGAAGUUGCUGCUCUUUAAGCACUCAGUUAUUGGGGCCAUUAUGGUGCUGAAAUUACGAAUGAACCGCCGAUAAAACGUAGCUAGGCCGUGGAAGCUACGAACAUCAGAAAAGGUCCGAGGUGUUGGCCAAUUCUAAAUAGCUUGCACUUUAGUGGGGUCAACUUCUACUCCUUUAUUAGAAAUGAUAAAGCCUAAAAAUAGACUUUCUUCUUCAGGAAUGAGCAUUUGGCAUGAUUAAUAUAAAGUUGCUCUGCCUGUAAUGUUUUUAAUACUUGCUCCACAUGGGCUAGAUGAUCAUGUAAAUAGUUACUGAAUAUCAAGAUAUCGUCAAAAUACACAACAACACAUUUACCCAAGAAGGGUUUGAGGAUUUGCAUCAUAACACGCAUGAAAGUACUCGGUGCGUUGGUUAACCCGAAAGGCAUGACUAGCCAUUCGAAUAACCCCUCUUUGGUUUUGAAGGCUGUCUUCCAUUCGUCACCAGGACGAUUGCGAAUUUGAUGAUACCCACUAUGAAGAUCAAGCUUUGUAAAAAUAGAGGCGUCAUUUAGUAAGUCUAGCAUGUCGUCAAGCCGUGGAAUUGGGAAUCAAUAUUUAACUGUUAUUUUAUUAAUUGCCCGAUUGUUUACACACAUCCUCCAGCUCCCAUCUUUUUUUGGUGUAAGUAGUACUGGAACAGCGCAAGGGCUAAGGCUUUCAUGGAUAAAUCCCUUGUCUAGUAACUGUUGGAUCUGUUGAUUCAGCUCCUCAUUCUCUGCAGGGCUCAUUCUGUAAUGAGAUAGGUUGGGUAAAGAGGAACCUGGGAUUAAAUCAAUUACAUGUUGUACAUCCCGCAUUGGUGGCAGUUGGUUUGGCAUUUCAGAGGGCAUGAUAUCUUGGAAUCUGUCAAGUAUUACUGCCAGCUCUUUAGGUACGACACCAUCAUCUUGUUUUACCUCCCGUCUCACCACAAACAACAACAUUUGCUCCCCACUUACAGCUUGAGAAAACUGAUGCAUGUUCAGUACUGGUACCUUUUUGUUGGUAGCUUCAAAUUCUGCAAUCGGUAAUGGAACUAGGACCAACUUCUUGCCUUUAAAAUAGAAGGAGUAGGUGUUGGUAUAGCCAUUAUAGGAGACUCUACGGUCGUACAGCCAUGGUCGUCCCAAUAACAUGUGGCAGACGGUCAUCGGGAUGAUAUCGCACCAUGCUUCAUCUACAUACUCUUGUCCUAAUGAAAACUGCACUAGACAUCGAUGUUUCACUGAAACUGAGUUAUGUUCAUUGACCCAGCUGAUUCGAUAAGGAGAGGGGUGUGUUUCGAUCUUCAGAUGUAAUCGCUCUACUGCUAUCUCAGAGAUCACAUUCAUACCACUGCCAUUAUCAAUGAUCACAUUCAGUGAUCUGUCUCCAUGUUCUAGUCGGGUGUGGAAAAUGUUGGUGCGCAACCAUUCCUGAUUGGCUUUGAGUUCCUUCUUGUUUCCUGUUAAAAUUCUGUGAAUAACGCAGCUUGGCAGUUGUGAGGCAUCUAGGUGUUCCUCCUCCUCAGCUGUAUCUUCAUCAGCUUCUCCUCCUGCAGUAUCCUCCAUUACUGUUAAUUCCUUCUCACAUAUAAAAGCAAGUUUUUUUCCUCUAGUGGGACACACCACAGCAUAGUGUCCAAACCCCUUGCAUUUGUAGCAUUGUGGACCAUCAUUCGUUCUGUCUGUUUUUCCUUUCUGUUCUCCUAGCAUUGAGCCCCCUGGUUUGUCCUGUGAUGAUUGUUGUCUUUGAACAGAAAAACUUGUCGUGUGCCCUGAUUUCAUAUCCAUCGGCGUGGUUUUCUUCCCUAUUGCAAUUCCUAUCUGCUUCUUAAUUCGUAACGCUAGUUGGUAUGCUUCCUCCACCGUGAUUAAUCGUGCUAUCAACAUUUCUUUAUAUAGUUCACCACGUAAUCCAUUGCGAUACCGGGCCAAUGUUUGUUGAUCGAUCUCUACAAUCUUGCUGCGGACGGUGAGUUCAUGGAAUUUGUUUGUAUAUUGUUCCACUAUCAAGGUCCCCUGUCUUAGUUGCAGCAUUUCUUCAAACAUCAUCUGCUCAUAGUCGAUGGGCAGGUAUUUUUCCUUUAGCCGUUCCUUCAUUUCUUCCUAGUGUGAAAUAGGUGGGCGUUGUGUUCGCCGCAAUUGUUCUUCCACGCUUCCCCACCAGACACGAGCAUAUCCCUUCAAUUUCAUCCUGAUAUAUCGAACCUUUCGCUCUUCUGACACAGCAAACCAAUCAAAAUAGUCUUCAAUGGCGGUUAGCCAAUCUUCAAAAGCAUGUGGUUCCAGUUUGCCAUAAAAAUCAGGCACAUCCACCUUCAUUCGCUUAGUGAGUUCAUCGAUGGGUUGAUUUGCCAGCCCUCGCCUGUCACGGUGUCGUGGAAGUUCCUCUCUGUGAUGUUGUAAUCGGUGGUGCUGGGGUUCAACGUCUCUAUACUCAGCAUCCAGGUUUUCCCCUAGUGUUUCCUCACGAAGUUGUCCACGCCCCCUUCUAUUAGGAGACCUUGCUCUACGUUCAUCCACAGCGUCUAAUCGAUUAGAAAGUUGUUCUAACACAGUGGUGAUAUAGAUGAUUUGUUGUUGUAAGUCUGCAUGUUUGCAUGGGGGAUUAUUAGGGACAUGAGUGUUUGACAUUGGGUAGGAGUUACCACUUCGGGUUACAGUCAUGAACCGCUCUGAUACCAAAUUGAUAUAUAUGCCUACCGGUUACAGUCUCUCACUGUUUCUUAACAAUAACAAUAAGUAAAUUGAUACAGAAUCGCUCUGUAGAGGAAUCUCUCCAAUUUGUAUUUCAAGAAUACAAUUGCAAAGAAUACAUCAAAUUGAUUUUCUCUUUUUGUGUUCCCCUCUUUAAAUACCUUACAGCUAAGGAUGUAGUCUAAUACGUAAGUGAAACGUAAUACUAAUUUAACUAGGAACUAACAGCUAUUCUAGGAAAAUAAUAACUACAGCUAAUGAGUUCUAAUCAGGUUCUGUCAAGAUUCUUUGAUUUCCCCACAUUUCCGUAUCCUAGUAGGAUUUAUGCAUUACGGGGUCUCUUCUCAAGCCUCCUAAUUUGCAUCAAUAGCUGUCAACGAUUUAGGUACUCUAAAUUACUCCAUUGACGUAGAGAGGCACUUCGAUGCCUAGAGGGUAUUUAUUUAACUCAACAAAAGUAUAUUAUUGAUUUACUUAAACGAAGUAACAUGGACACAGCCAAACUUUGCAACAGUCCCAUGACUUCGAAUAAUUGUCAUCUUAAUUCACAGAUGGAAGUCCUUUUGAGGAUAUCAGCCUCUACCAAAAUAUUGUCGGAAGCAUGCAAUAUCUUGCAUUUACACGACCUGAUUUGGCCUUUGAUGUACACAAAGUCAACAAAUUUAUGCAUGAACCUCAUGAUCCCCAUUGGCUUGUUGGCAAGCGCAUAUUGCGCUACCUCAAACAUUCAGUUGCAACAGGUUUGUUCAUCACAAAAACUGGUGAUUUCAGGCAACGAGCAUAUUCAGAUUCAGACUGGGCAACUAAUAGAGAUGAUUGGCGUUCAGUUGGUGCAUAUAUACUACAUCCACAUAAGUGCCAACUUGAUCUCUUGGAGUUGCAAACAACAACCUAUAGUCGCUAGAAGUAGAAUACAAAGCAACAAUAGCAAAUGCAGCUGCUGAACUUACUUGGAUCAAAUCAAUACUAUCUGAACUCGGUCUACCUCUAACACAAACUCCGACUCUGUGGUGUGAUAAUAUUGGAGUAACCUAUCUCAUCUCCAAUCCUUUAUUUCAUGCAAGAACAAAACACAUCAAAAUAGAUUUUCACUUUGUUUGAGAUCAAGUUUGCAACAAAUAACUAGGGGUUCAAUUCAUUUCAAACAAAAACCAGUUAGCAGAUGCACUUACCAAGUCAUUACCGCCAAUUAGAUUUAAACAAGUCCAACGCAAUUUGAAUGUCCAUGAUCUACCCUCCAGAUUGAGGGGGGGUGUGUGUGGAGAGUCAAGUUGAUAUUACUGAAAUCAAGGGAGAUCAUAUAUACCCAGAAGACAAGAGAAAUCUUAGCAGUAAAUCAAGAGCCUAAUAAUAAAGAAGAUAAGAUCUUUAGCUGUAACAAGUUCUUAAAAUUGUAUACUUUAAAAUAGGAAUCAAUUGUAUUUAUAGUGAUACACACACAGACACACAAGUGUACAAGUUGAAAGCAUUGAGAUUACUAUCAAAUACCCUGUAUCUAAAGCUUUUCUUAUAUCAUUGAACCAAUAAUUCAUGCAAAAAUAACUCAUCAUCUUUUGUACUUAAUACAUAGAUAGAAAACAAAAGGUAGCAUAUACAGGGAACCAAUGGAAAUACUUUUACAAAUUUAGUGCUUUCUUAUGUUUGUAAACUGGUACUUUUUAUUUUAUUAAGAUGCGAUCAAAAUUGAAAUUUUUUCUCAUAUUAGCACAGUGGACGAACUUAUUUUUCAAACUAGCAUAGUUGAAAAAAUGAUCCUCACUCUAGCAUAAAAACAAUAACCGCGCAUGUAGUAUAUAUACAACUUAUAAGUUGUGCAUUUACUAAAUGCGUAACAAUUGUAUGUAGUAAAUAUGUCACCUAUAGGUCACGCAUGUAGCAUAUGCAUGACCACCCGGUUAAUUAUUUUGAAGAUAGUUUCCCAUUUCUUUUCUUCUCCCCUUACUUCUUUCUUCUCUGCUUCUCCCUCCUCCAUAUGACACUCUCAACUCAUGCUAGAUGAUCGCUCUUCACCAUAAAAGACUAUAUUUCUCCCUUUCCCAUGACAAACCUCACAUUUCUCUCUCUCUUUCAACUGUUUGUUCUUUCUCUAGCCAUCCACCCAGGCAACAACCAAUCUCUCUUCACUGUCACUGCCACCACCACCACUACCACCUAUAAGCUCCCUAUUUAACUAAUUUAAGGUAUAUUCACCUUCCCCUUUAUUAUCUUGUUAUUUUACUUACUUGGCUAAUUUGUGAAUUUUUUAGGAUAAAGGUUUUAGAGUUUAGGUUAGGGUUUUUGUUGAUUUUUCCUAAUUGAAUUAUAAUUUGAGAUUAAUUUGAUAUAAAAUUAGUUAAGAAAGUGUAUACAUUUUCUUAUUUAGUAAGAAAAAUCGAUGAAUUAUGUUGUGUUGAUUAUAUUAGUGUUAAGGUUUUAGGGUUUAAUUUAUGAUUUUUGUUAAUUUUGAAUUUUUUAAUGUAACUUGAAUUAUUUGCUAUAUUGACAAAUUAACAUUGUAUUUUGUUGUGAUUUUCACAUAACAUAUCUUAUAUAGUGGGAAUUUUAUGUUAUUAUGGUGGUAAAAUCAUCGAUAGCAAUAAUGGUAUCUUUACCACAGAGGAAGUACCGAGUUAUGUAGCUUGAGAUUAGAUAGUUUAUUUGAUGGAUUUAGAAAUUUAGUGUUGGGUGGAAUCUAGUCAAAUUUAAUGUUGGUAUUACUUGGAGGAUAUUGGGUGGAGGCCAUCUGAAUCAUUAUGUUGGUGUGCUCAUUACUAGUGAUAUGAGUUUUAAUACAAUGAUUGGGUUGAUCAUCAUAAAUGGAUUGCAAAUAUUAGAGCUCUUCUUGAGUAGAAAACCUAAAGUAGAAAACUCUUCAAAUUUAGAGUUGACUCGGGUCCUAAGUUACAAUCAAAGAACUUCAAAAUUAUCACAUGCAGUAGGUCCAUGUAAGACAAUUAGUGAUGCAAUGAACCUAACAUCGGUUCAAGAAAUGGUGUAUAUGGAACCUUGGUUAGAUAUGGUAAUAACUCCAUAUUGUUAUGAUGAAGUUGAACCGAGUGAUCAGAAAGAUAAUUUUCAUGUCAAUGAUAUAGUUGAGGAUGAUGAGCAAGGUGAGCCAAUAAACCAAACAAUAAGACCCCUUUUUCCUAAAUUUAAAUAUGUUAGUGGGUCUGCUCAUAUGAGUCAUAUGAAUUCAUGUUUAAAUACUAAGUUGCGGGUUAGACAAAUAUUUUGAACUAAGACUGAUUUAAUUAAUGUAGUUAAAUGGUGACAUGUAAAAAAUUCACUUUAAUAUAAAGCACAACGUUUAACCAUAACUUAUAAGUAUAACUUAUAAGUAGUUAUAGCGUAAGCAUGAACCAUCAUGUCAAUGAUAUUUGCGUGGGAAAUAUCAAAAAAAAUCUAAUUCAUUUGAUAUUUCAAAAUUGAAAGAUUCUCACACAUGACACAAUCUAAUGGUUAUGAGAGCCUACCAUUAUAUUGACUCUUAUUUUGUUGCUACUAUGAUGUUGACCUUUUUCAAACCUAAAAUAAGUAUUAAAAUUAUAACCAUUUAACUAUCCAUAAAGAUUAUUUGUAUGAUAUAUCGUAUAAAAAUUCUUGGUUAGCUAAACAAAAAUUAUUGGAGAGGUUACUUUGAUCACAUAAGGAGUUCUGACGGUAUUGAUAAGUAUUGACGACACUCACUUAUAUGGAAAGUACAAGGCAAAAAUCUUGAUUGGUUAUACUUUGGCUGAGAAAGAAAUGAACAAUAACUAGACAUGAUUUUUAGAUUUGAUUUGCUAACAUGUCACGGGUAGACGUACUAGAUUGUGUAUAAUUUCAUAUAAACAUACAGCAAUUAAGAAUGUUAUGUCAUAGAUAUGGACCCAACUAGAUAGGUAUCAUCGUUAUUGCUCUUGCCACUUUGUGAGUAACUUCAAAAAAAGAUUAAAAGAUGUGGCAUUGAAAAAACUAUUAGAUAAGAUGUGUUAAAAGCCUUCAAGACAUAAAUUUGAUACUAUGUAUAAUGAUAUGGUUGACAUGAAUGAUCAAAUCAAAGAAUGGCUUGAGAUUGAACCAAAAGAAAGAUAGACACUCUCAUAUGAUGGUGAUUAUCGUUAUGAAAAUAUGAUCACUAAUUUGUCAAAGAUUUUCAACAAUGUCUUUAAAACUAUUCGUGGCUUGCCUAUAAUAACUAUAGCGCAAAUUACCUUUUUUCGGACUAAUAAAUAUUUUGUUGAUCGAAUAGCUGCAAUUGAUAAUUGCAUUAGUCAUGGUGUAUUGUGGCCUUCGCAAGUGCUUGCUAAACUUAUUGUUGAUGCAUCAAAAUCAAGAUAACAUGUUGCGAGUAUAUUUAAUAUCCCAAAUGGUGUUUUCAAGUCAAGAUCCCCUAGUAAUUGGUAGUCAAAGAGAGGCUCAAUGAAAAGUUCAGUUUAAUCAAAGAAUAUAUACGUGUGGUAAAUGGUAGUUGUAUUAUCGACCAUGUUCACACUUUAUUGUAUGUUAUACAUUGUAACAUGUUGACUUUGAAAAAUUUAUUGACACUUUAUUUUCUAACACCAAUUACAAAAAUUCAUAUGGUUUUUAUUUCAAAUCGUUACCUUAUAUUCCAUUAUGGUUUGAUUAUACUAGGUCAUGAGUUGAAGGGUGUCCAACUAAACGGAGAGUUGAAAAGGGUCAAUGUAGAUCCACUCGUCUACCUAAUUAUACUAGUCAUAAUAGAAAAACAAUUCAAAAUGGACAGCGUAAAAGAAAAUUUUUGUUUUAAAUUGAUUUUUUAUUUCAUAUCUCUAUAUUAAGUAGUUUUUUUAUCCUUUUAUUCUAUAUCCUUUAACAUUUUUACAUGACUAUAUAUGAUGGUGCGAACUAGGAGAGGUGGAUUUAUUUCAAGAUGUCGUGGUAUACGAGAGGACAAGUUCUCAUUAUGUCCAGGUGUAAAUCCCGAGAUAAUCAAGGCUGGAUUAAAUUAAAGAAAUAAACUAAACUAAAAAGAAGUGGGGGCAAAACGAAUACAUUUAAAGAAAAUGGGGUCUAAAUACAAAUAAGAAUAAUUAUAGAGCAUAAAUACUACUCUUCUUACUAAAAACAAUUCUGCAACUAUCGUGAAGAAAGAAGAGAGGGAGUUUUGGUAUCUAUUUUUACAGAUCAAGAGAGAAACACCAAAUUUCAAGAACUCAUCCAAGAUUAAGGGUUAUAGGUAAAAAUAAACACUAGUAGGCAAGGGAUUAAUAAGAAAACAAUUGAACAAGAAGAGAAUAGGGGAGGGUCGGCUGUCAUUAGAAAGAAAAGGAGGGAUCGAGACCUUAAUUCGUAUCAGGUAAGAUAUUCUAAACAUGGUCUUAUGAGUUGUUUUAAAGUCAAAUAUGAAUUGAUGCCUGGAUGUUAAAUUAUAGAUUUGAGUUCUAUAACUCCAGAUAUAGUUAAAAAUCUGAGGAGAGGUCAGACAGUAACCGUUCAAAAACAGACAGUAACAGUUGGACAGUAACAGUCCAAGUGUUUGUUGAUGAGCCAUUUUGACUAUCUUAGAGGCAGAACUAGGUUCUCCUUAAUCAUAGAACUUGUAGCCUCAUGUCUUAGCUUCAUAAUGACACAAAUUUUGCUUGAAUCGGAGUUCUAUAACUCCAGAUAUAGUUAAAAAUCUGAGGAGAAGUCAGACAGUAACAGUUCAAAAAUGGACAAUAACAGUCUAAGUGUUUGUUGAUGAGCGAUUUUGACUAUCUUAGAGGCAAAACUGGGUUCUCCUCAAAAAUAGAACUUGUAGCCCCAUGUCUUAACUUUCCAACGACAUAAAUUUUGCUUGAAUAGGAGUUCUAUAACUCCAGAUAUAGUUAAACAUCUGAAAAGAGGUCAGACAGUAACAGUUCAAAAAGGGACAGUAACAGUCCAAAUGUGUGUUAAUGAGCGAUUUUGACUAUCUUAGAGGCAGAACUGGGUUCUCCUUAAAUCAUAGAACUUGUAGCCUCAUGUCUUAGCUUUCCAACAUCAUAAAUUUUGCUUAAAUUGAAGUUCUAUAACUCCAGAUAUAGUUAAAAAAUUGAGGAGAGGUCAGACAGUAACAGUUCAAAAACGGACAGUAACAGUCCAAGUGUUUGUUGAUGAGCGAUUUUGACUAUCUUAAAGGUAGAACUGAGUUCUCUUUAAAUCAUAAAACUUGUAGCCUCGUGUCUUAGCUUUUCAACGACAUAAAUUUCACUUGAAUAGGAGUUCUAUAACUCCAGAUAUAGCUAAAAGUCUGAGGAGAGGUCAGACAGUAACAGUUCAAAAACGGACAGUAACAGUUGGACAGUAACAGUCCAAGUAUUUGUUGAUGAGCAAUUUUGACUAUCUUAGAGGCAGAACUGGGUUCUCCUUAAAUCAUAGAACUUGUAGCCUCAUGUCUUAGCUUUCCAACGACAUAAAUUUCACUUGAAUCGGAGUUCUAUAACUCCAGAUAUAGUUAAAAAUCUAAGGAGAUGUUAGACAGUAACAGUUCAAAAACAAGGCUGCAACAGUUGGAUAGUGACAGUCUAAAUAUAAAGAAAGGAAUGAUAACUAGGAUUGGACAAAGAACGAUAAUAAUAAUGAGUGAAAUGAGAAAAACAUAAAGUACUAAGAAAUGACUGAAAGAAAGACUUAUUGGUUGUUGAUAUGGUUAUUAUAAAACAUAUCCUUGAGUGAGGAAAAUUUAUGAGAUAAAUCUGUGAUUUGCAGGAGAGACCACAGGCGUGGUGCAACAGCAGUAGUAGGGGAGCACGAGUAGAGCUUCUAUUGCAGGUAGGUGAAUCACACCUUUACCUUCUAUGUAAAUUCCAUGUUUUAAUAUAUAUUACUGAUGUGAAGUGUGAAUUACCGAAUGUAUGAGUACUCAAGGGGAAAGGUUGUUGUGUGAAUUGCUAAAUGAUGAAAUUAUCACUGACAAAUAAAAUAUGAGAAGUGUGAUUUGAGGCGUAAACUAGCAUACAUUUAGUGUAUGUUAGGAUCCCGGGUAAGGGGAUCGCCAUGGUUGGACUAGCAUAUAUUUAGUGUAUGUUAGGAUCCCGGGUAAGGGGAUCGCCAUGUUUUCAGCUAGCAUACAUUCAGUGUAUGUUAGGAUCCCAGGUAAGGGGAUCGCUAUGUUUCGGCUAGCAUACAUUCAAUGUAUGUUAGGAUCCCUGGUAAGGGGAUCACCACGUUUCGGCUAGCAUACAUUCAGUGUAUGUUAGGAUCUCGGGUAAGGGGAUCACCCUGCAUCGACUCCUAUGGGAUGAUGAUGAUGAUACUAGUGAAAGGGGUAUCGAAAAUGGGUUAAACGAAGAUAAUCAUGCUUGAUCUUAUAAAGUCUAGAAUGGAGGUUAAUAGUGAAAGAGGGAACAGUUAUUAAUAGUUUGUAUACGGAAGAGAUUCUAAUGAAAACCAGAAAGGAGAAGAACAAAAUAUGAAUGCAUGUUACCCUUUUAAAAUUGCUUGAUAUUCAUGUUGUUAUUUUUAUGUGAUAAUCACCUUUCAAUAAUAUAUAUUUUGUUUCAGGAACAUCACAUGCACGACAGGAGUAGAUCCUAGCUUAUGUUUCCCUUCUUGUAUUUAGGUUAUAGGGGGUAUACCCUUAUAUUUUGUAAACAUGAAAAUGUUUGUAUAACUUAAUUUGUAUAAAUAAUUUUUAAAAUUGAUUGAAUGAACUUAAUCUCUGUAGCUCAUGUAAACCAUCUUUCAUGUCUAAGUAUUUACUUUUAUUUUCAUCCAUAAUGAUAUUUUGUUAUAUAAUGUAUAUCAUGAAUAUCGUGGAUAAUAAGUGUGAGAAUAUUGUGGAAAUUGAAACCCAAGACAAUUGGGACGGGAUUAAGUUAUGAAAUGCGAGUUAUUGAAAGUGUAAACAGGUUACAUAUCAAUAACUUGGGACCUUCCGGUUUAGGGGGGACUCCGUCGAAAUUUCGGUAAAUUUUAAUUUGAAAACCAUGAAUAUAUAUAUAUAUAUAUAUAUAUAUAUAUAUAUAUAUAUAUAAGAAAAAAAAAUUCCUCUGUUUUCGGUUGACAUGAGAGUGUUGUUUUUUAUCCCCAAGUAGGGGAUGUAGGGGAUGUUACACCAGGUCUUGAUGAUUUCUCAGUCUUGCAAUUGCAGUACAAGCAUCAAUCAGAGGAUAUUUGGGCUUGACGAGUAAGUUAAUUUUUUAUAUAUAACAUGGUUAUAUGAUAAAUUGUAAAUGUUGUUAAUACUUAUGUUUAUAUUUUUUUUAAUGAAAUUCUCAGGGUGAUCCGGUUAAACCUCAUCAUUACGCCCCUAUAGACCUAGAUGACCAUGUUUGUUCUUAUAUCACGAUUUGAUUUCAGCAUUAGUAGAGAGGUGGAGGCGUGAGACUCACAUAUUCUAUUUUCAUGUUGGAGAGAUGACACCAAUAUUACAAGAUGUUGUUGUCAUACCAGUCAACCUUCUAAUAGAUGGAACUCCUGUUGCAAGCCUUACAGCUUUCAACAAAGAUGAUUUAUGUCUUUGUCUAUUAGGACAGGUGCCACCUUAUGAGGGAUAUAAAGGGGAUUAUAUUAGGUUGACAUGGUUGAAUGAGAGUUUUAAGACCCCACCAAAGGGUGCUACAAAGAUUGUAUUGUAUUAUUAUGCUAGAGCAUAAAUAAUGCAUAUGUUUGGGGCCAAUCUUCACCAAUUUGACAGACAAUGUAGUUCCAUGCUACUUUCUUCCACUGCUAGAAAACUUUGUUGUCAUUCAUAACUAUAGUUGGGCUCGAUGAUGCUUGCAUAUCCAUAUCAUUAGCUUUGCCAUGUAUGCAUGUCAUACAAGAAAAACAUCGGCUUAUGUUUAUUAUUUCUAUAGGUAUAAUUUGAUAUUAUAUUCUAUUAAAUAUUUUUAAUUUAAGUAUUUAUUCAUUUCUUUAUUAUGAAUAUGAACUUAUGGUCAUGAGAGUAUCUUCACAUUGAUCAUCCUAAUGUUUGGAAAAAUCAGAUGCUCGACACUGUUACGAGAAUACGACUCUUAAUUGGAGCUUAAUAAUAAUAACUAUGAACACAAUUAAAUUUAAAUUUUCUAUGAAAAAAUGUCUAACUUAGCUAUUUAACAUGUUGGUUUGGUUAGGGAGAGGUCUAGGCGUUUUACACAAAAUCUCGCUCAUGUUCACGAGUUCUAUCAGGACAAGUUGGAUUCACAUGAGCCUCACCAUAUAUGUAUGAACUCAAUUAUUCAUUUUUUUUAUUUAACUUUAUUUUUUGGUGUGAGUGUUUUUAAUAUAUAUGCUUUAUGGUUUCAUAAGUGAUAAAGACAUUGUACAAUGAUGAUUUGAUUGGAAGAGCAUCUUCAUUAUGCAUGAAGGGAAGUGAUUUAUGGUUAGUGGUUCAUAUGCACUAUUUGUUAUAGUUGAGGUGCAUUGCCCUGAUCGGGUAAUGCGUGAGUUUGGAUUGCAUCAACACAUAUCUGAUGAUGUUGACACACUUGAUGACUUUCAUGUUAUUAAUCGUAGAGGUAAAGAGGAAGAUGAUUGAUCGGUGAUGAUAAAGUUUAGAGUUUAGGUUUUUUUUUAAUUGUUCUUGUUAUUCUUCUCUCUCGGAGGAAUGCCUUAUAUAGGCAUAUAUAUGGCGGUUUACAAGUUUCCUGUUCUACAAGGAAUAUAUUUCCUGUUCUGAAAGGAAUAUAUUAAUGUGUAUCCUUUUAGAACUCUUAUGGAAUAUCUACUAGAACUCUUAUUCUCUAAUUCAGCUAAUUACAUGUUAACACUUCCCCUCAAGUUGGUGCGAAGAUAUCUUCUAAGCCUAACUUCUCUAGAACCUUAUGAAGAGCUAACGCAGGGAUUGCAUGUGUUAGAAUAUCUGCUAGCUACUCACUUGAUCGAACGAAAUGGAUGUCCACUAACUUCAGAAGUAACUUUUCCUUGAUGAAGUGUCGAUCUACCUCAAUGUGUUUAGUUCGAUCAUGUUGGACCGGAUUAUUAGCUAUCUCUCGUGCUGCCUGAUUGUCGCAGUAUAGUAACAUAGGUUCUUUUGGUUCAAAACCUACUUCGGUGAGUAGAGUCCUAAGCCAUAACAGUUCACAUAUUUCAUGUACCAUCCCUCUAUAUUCUGCCUCUGCUGAGGAUCUCGCUGUCACGUUUUGUUUUUUGCUUCUCCAUGUGACAAGGUUUCAUGCAACAAAUGUAAAAUAGCCAGAGGUGGAUCUUCUGUCAGUGAGAUUUCCUGCCCAAUCUGCAUCAGUAAAUCCCUUCACUUCCAUAUGCCCAUAUCUUUUAAAUGUCAGUCCUUUUCCUGGGACCCCUUUUAGGUAACUCAGAAUCCUCAUUACGGCUGUCAUAUGGUCUUCACUUAGAGCAUGCAUAAACUGACUUACCACACUAACAGCAUAGGCAAUGUCGGGGCGUGUGUGAGACAAAUAAAUUAAUCUCCCUACCAAUCGCUGGUAUCUUUCCUUGUUUGUUGGUACCUGAUCUAGGUAAAUGGCCAAAUGAUGAUUCUGAACAAUAAGAGACUCUACUGGUUUGCAUUCUAGCAUACCAGUUUCAGAUAAUAGAUCCAGUAUAUACUUUCGUUGUGACAGGUAUAUACCAUUUUUAGUCUUUGCAACUUCAAUCCCUAAAAAAUAUUUCAGUCCUCCUAAAUCUUUCAUUUCAAAUUCAGUGGACAAACAUUCUUGUAGCCUUUCUAUUUCGUCUGCGUCAUCACCAGUUACAAUCAUAUCAUCCACAUAAAUAAUGAGCAGUGUAACUCUCUCAUUCUUGUGUUUGAUGAAUAAAGUGUGAUCAGAGUUACCUUGGUGAUAACCAAUUCGUUUCAUAGCUUCUGUGAACCUUCCAAACCAUGCUCUUGGCGAUUGUUUCAAGCCAAACAAUGAUUUUCAUAAUCUACACAUUUUUUCGCUAUAUUGUGGACAGUUAAACCUAGGUGGAAGCUGCAUAUAAACUUCUUCUUCCAAAUCCCCAUGGAGGAAUGCGUUCUUCACAUCAAAUUGCUUCAAGGGCUAACCGAAAUUUGCUGCUAAAGAUAAUAAGACUCUAAUGGUGUUCAUCUUUGCAACUGGGGCAAAAGUUUCCUGAUAGUCGAUGCCAAAUGAUUGCGUGUAUCCCUUUGUUACUAACCUUGCUUUGUACCGAUCAAUUGUCCCAUCUGCUCUGUGUUUGGUUGAAUAUCCAUUUGCACCCUACUAGUUUUUUUCCUAAAGGGAGUUAUACAAUGCUUCAUGUACCGUUUCUUUGUAAUGCAUCCAUUUCAGCCUCCAUUGCUGCUACCCAUUUCGGGUUCUUUAAGGCUUCCUCAACAUUUGUAGGUAUUUUUAUAUUCUUCAUCUCAUUUACAAAGGCUUGAUGUUGUGGUGGCAGUCUAUGUGUAGAGACAUACUGUGUGAUGACAUAUCUUGCUUUGCCAUUUGGAGAGUAUCUGUCGGGUGGUUUCCCACCGUUCUGUCUAGGAGGCAGAUAAUAAUUUGGAGCAGAUAAUGACAUGGAAGAGGAAGGGCUUGUAGUGUUACUUACCUCAUGAAUAUCUGGUCGAUCUUGGACGUGGAUUUGUGGAGAGGAAGGGGCUACUUCAAUCUGUUUGUCUUACUAUUCUAGCGUGUUUUUGUCCCUUGCACUCCUAAUUAUCUGUGAAAUGGACUCCCCUGACUCCAUUCCUUCCCCUGAACUAGAUCCUUCUUUUUCCCCUGAACCAGAGUCUUCCUCUGGAUCAGACUCCCGUGAACCUGAUUCUCCCCGUGGACUAGUCUGUUCAGAUAGUUGGGGCAGAUCAAUCCAGUUAUAGGCAUCUUGUUGCAGCUGCUCCCCCUGAGGACUAGAGGUGGAUUGAUCUAGACCGAAAAAAUACUCUGUUUCGGAGAAAGUGACAUCCAUGCUGACAUACAUGUGGUGAGCUGAAGGAUGGUAACAACGGUAGCCUUUUUGGUGAGGAUUGAAGCCAAAAAACACGCAGCGCACUGCACAUGGAUCCAGUUUUGUGCGCUGAGAUUUCUACAGGUGAACAUAGGCGACACACCCAAAAACUCGAGGUUCUAGAUAUAGGAAGGAUGGAAUCUGAACAUGUUGAGUUAGAGUUUGUAGAGGAGUUCUGAAGGAGAGGACUUGUGAUGGCAUUCGGUUCAUGAGGUACACUGCAUAGGUCACGGCUUCCACCAAAUAAUGUUGAGGUAUAUGGGCACCGAUAAGAAGAGCUCUAGUAGUUUCAAGGAUAUGCCUAUUUUUGCGUUCUGCCACACCAUUUUGUUGUGGAGUACCUGGACAAAUAGUUUCAUGAAGAAUACCAUUGUCUUGAAAGAAUUUCAAGAGCUUAGAGUUAAGGUAUUCUCCGCCAUUUUCUGAUCGAAUAACUUUCACGGGGAGGGAGAACUGAGUGCGAACCAUGUGAUAAAAAUUAGGAGUAUAUUGCACACAUCACUCUUGUGCCGCAUGGUAUAUAACCAAGUCAUUCUGGUGCAGUCAUCGACAAAUAUAAUAAACCACUGAAUCCCAGAUUGAGUAGUAAUUGGGGCAGGUCCCCAAACAUCAGAGUGAAUUAAUUCAAAUGGCUUUAUGCUUUUAGUCAGGCUUAACGGAUACGAAGUACGGUGGCUUUUGGCCAAGAUGCAAACAUUACAUUUAAGAGAAGAACUGAGAUCCAAAAUGUCAUUAAAUAGGGAUGGAAAUAAUUUUUUUAAGUAGCCAAAGGAUGUGUGACCCAGCCGAUGAUGCCACAAUCAAAUAUUCUUGGAGUCAUGAACAUUGCGACUCUGAACUUGAUGGACGUGACCUAACACAACAUCAUCCGCAUAGUAAAGCCCCUUCCUCUUAGUAUCAUGUCUAAUGAUCGCUUGAGUCCGGAUAUCCUGAAGUAAGCAAAAAGUGGGAAACAUUAAGACAAUGCAAUCCAAUUCUUCUGUAAUUUGACUAAUUGAUAAUAAGUGAUUUGAAAGUGCAGGAACAAGUAGACAAUUAUGUAAUGAAAGGUAAGGAGUGAGAGCAAUUGAUCCUGCUCCAAUAACUGGGGUAAACUCCCCAUUAGCUGUCAGGACUUUUUCCUUAGAUCGGGAAGUCAUGUACUGAAAUAAUGAUUUAUUGUAAGUCAUAUGGUCUGUGGCACCCGAGUCAAUGAUCCAACUUGUAUCUUGAACUGUGGAUGUAGAAAACAUCAUUCCAGUGUUUUCUGAGGUUGGAAGGGAGUCAGCUGUAUUGGCUAAAGAGAGUAUUUCACCCGGUUUAAUAUGGUCUCUUUGACAUGUUGCAAUAGCAGCAACACUAAAAGGAAUCUCCACCGUAUUAGCUAAUUUUGCUUGGCAUGGACAUUUAUUGUUGCGUGCUUUACUCUGCUUCCGUUUUUCUAAGAACCAUUCGGGAUAGCCAUGAAUUUCAAAAUAGGUGUCUCUGGUAUGGCGACUUCCAUUACAAUGACUGUAGCACAAUUUAUCCUUUUCUGCUUCCUCAACAGCUCUAAGGUUGCGAAAGUUAGAGGAGGCGGUGGAUUUGAAAAUCAUUGCCAUGAAAGUACCUUCACCCGUGUUCUUUGUGCCAAGCAUGGUGACUCGGUGUUGAGCCUCUCGUCGAACAGUAUUGAAGCACUCUUCAAUACGUGGAACAGAUUUCAUGCGAAGAAGAUCACUGCGUACUGGGUCGAAUACCUCAUCUAGUCCCACGAGAAAGUCAUAAAUUCGAUCUUUUUGGAUUUCUUCUUGUCUGGUUCUAAGGUCUGUAGUACACAUCAUCUUAAUUGGUCGUCGUUUAUCAAUUUCUUGUCAGACGCUGUUAAGUUCUGCGUAGUAUAAGUUAACUGGAUGUCCAUUAUGUUUUGUUCUUGUUGCCUUGCAGCGUAACUCAUAAAAUUGAGACUCAUCCGCCCCAUCAUAGAAGGUUUGAGUUACACUGUCCCAGAUUUCCUUGGCUGAUGAAAGGUGUAUAAAUAAGCCGAUGAGAUGAGGCUCCAUGGUUUUCAGCAGCCAUCCUCGCACCACCGUAUCUUCAAUGCACCAUCUUGAGUAACCGGGAUUUCCUUCUUCCAUUCUAGCGUUUUGUCCAUUUAAGUAGCCAAGUUUGUUCAAUCCAGCAGCAUGAAGCUCAAUCAUUCGUGACCAGAUUUUGAAGUUUGUCUCAUUUAAUUUGAAUCCAAAGGGUAAGUUGUUUAGGUUGGGUGAUUCAACAGAGACUAGAGUAUGGUUUAUAGGAAUUAUAGAGGUAUUUGUAUCAUCCAUGGUCGGUCCCUUGUUUCAAGACCAAUUCUGGAUGGGGCUGCAGAGAGAGAAGAAUUUUAAUUAUGCUCUUAUACCAUGAUAAAGUUUAGAGUUUAGGUUUUUAUGGCGGUUUACAGGUUUCCUGUUCUACAAGGAAUAUAUUUCCUGUUCUGAAAGGAAUACAUUAAUGUGUAUCCUUUCAGAACUUUUAUGGAAUAUCUACUAGAACUCUUAUUCUCUAAUUCAGCUAAUUACAUGGAAUAUCUACUAGAACUCUUAUUCUGUAAUUCAGCUAAUUACAUGUUAACAGGUGAUUCAUAUAUAAUAUGUCAAUUUGUGGCAUGCAAGGAGAGAUCUCUUAUUUACAGAGUAGUAUCCCUCUAUUUGAUGUCAAUUUAUGGAAGAGCAUUUUCAUUAUGCAUUAAGGGAAGUGAUUUAUGGCUAGUGGUCCCUAUACACUAUUUUGUCAUAGUUGAGGUGCAUUGCUCUGAUUGGGUAAUGCGUCAAUUUGGAUUGCAUCAUCACAUAUUUGAUGAUGUUGACACACUUGAUGACUUUCAUAUUGUUAAUCGUUGAAGUAAAGAGGAAGAUGAUUGGUUAUUUACAUAGUAGUAUCUUUUUAUUGAGUUAGAUCUAUACAUGACUUGGUACAUGAACAUAACAAGAUGAUUCAUAAUAUCACAAUGAAACACAUUACGAGACAUCUAUGUGACACUCCGCGUCAGCCGACACAUAAUCCGAAUAAUUAUGAUCCUCGUGCACCAAGAUAUAAUAGAUUAGUAUGCAUGGAUUAGUUUUUUUAACAUGUAAUAAAAUUCUUAUUUAUAUCUUAUAAAAUAAUACCUUCUAAUAUAUUAUGUGAAUUUUCCAAUGGGUGAAUUUUCUAAUACGCGAGGGUCAAAGAGUUACAACCGUAGUUCAUGAUGCUAUCAAUAAUAUUGUGCGUGACGCUUUCAGUACUUUGUUCUCAUCAUGUCGUUCUUCACUUAAUAUACGAGGGUUAGAGAGUUGUAGCCGCACUUCAAACACGACAUCAUGCACUUAUGCUACUUGCAUAAUCAUUGUUUUUAUGCUAGAGUAAAAAUUAUUUUCCCAACCAAUUUGGAAAAUAAAUCCUUAAUAAAUAAAUAAAAAGAUUUGAUUCAAAUUUACCCAUGCUUUAGUCUAUGUAACCCAUUUAGAUUAAAUUGCAUUAAAUUGUAAAAUUACAACUAAUUACAAUUUUGGGAAUGCUUAAGAUAUAAAAGACAUUAAUUUUUUACAAAAAAAAAACUAAUAUUUUCAAAAAUCUUAUAAUUGAAAUUGUUCAAAUGUUAUAGGAAUAAAAAAUAAUUUGUUUGAAAAAAACUCGUAAUUUUGAGAUAUUCAAGGAAUAAAAAAAAUUCAAGAUACUUGGAUAAAAAAAUUACAAAAUGUUUAGUAUCUUGUCAGGCAAAUGAUCUCGCGAUAGUUACGACGUCGACAUUAACAUCUGGAAAUUUGUAUGGGCAAGAAUCCAUGCCAUGAAAUCACAUCGGAUGUGGCUCUUGAAUUACAUUAAUGAGCAGACAAAACUAUUCACUGGUAGAUUGUCUGGCUUGAAGAAGAACAAAAUAUAAAAGAAAAGCAUGAAGAGCACAUAAUGAUAAGUGGAAGUUGAUGGUACUGUAUCUUCAUAAGAAUUCAUACAAGCACAACAUGAUUAGUUAAACAGAACCUCACAUAGGAAUUAACAUACAGUAAUCCUCCCAUUUUUACUAGCAGCUUUCCUCGUCUUGCAUUGCAUUAACAGGCUUAACAACUCAAUUCUUCCAUAGGAAUUGACCCACCAGCUGCCACAAUCUGUUGCUCCAGCUGCAACAGACACAACAUUGCAUUUGAAAAACAAGAACACGAUUAUAAAAGAAGUUCAGCAACUAUGUUUCUUUAAAUAAAUGAACAUUUCAUUGAGCAAGAGUAAGGUGACUGUACGCACCCUGAUUAGAGCUUCAAGCUUGCUCUUCACGAGACAGUAAUCCUGUUUCACUUGCUGCAGGCAUCUCUGGCACCUGCAAUCCAAGUAACCGAAUACAUAUAAUUGAAGCAUUAAAUAUCGCAUCACAUAAAAAUACAAAUCCUGGGGUUCAAUAGCUAACUGAGAAAAAAAGAAUUGGUAAGUACAUUGAUGCUAAAAAAUAAAACAAUCUGGAGAAUGAGGUAGAGGGAAAUAACUCACCCUUCAAUGUUCUGUUCCUCACAGAAGCUGCGGAAAGCGAUGCAGUCAUUUUUAACUCUCUGUGCACCUAUGCUGUAUAACACAAGAUCCAUUUUUUUCACCCAAAGUGAGCUAAAGAAUCCAUCUUUUCUCAAUCAAACAAAAAUGAGCUAAGAAGAAGGGGGGGAAAAUAAUUGUUAGCAUUCUGCGUCUAAUUUUCCAGGUCGUGUCUUAGAUCUGAACUGUUUUCUGUAAGGUUCAAUGCUCUCAUAUGGUUUUAAAGAGGACAUGAUACUUAAAUCAACGAUUGCUUGUUUUAGUUCUAUAGGAAGCAAACAUAUACCUGGAGCUGCUACCCUUCAACUGGUGAACAUGAGCAUCAACCUUUUUGAAGUCUACACUUUGCUGUUCUCUAUAAAAGAAGAGGUAAAACAAAACCCAUUUCGAAAAAAAAAAUUGUAGCAAUAUAAAAAUACAGUCAGCUAGCUAGAAUCAACCAUAACCAAAAAGGAAAGCUCAGAACUUUUAAUCAACAUCAAGCAGUUCAGAUGUUUGAGAGAGAGUGAGAGAGUCUCCUUACAAGGCAAAGGUGAGAUCACUCAGAAGCCUCUCAGAAUCUUCAAAGAAGAGAGAUACCACUUCAGCAACAAAAUCUGGGUUGCUCUCGUCUUGCAGAAGCUGAAGCUGUUGAAACUGGGCAUCCAGAAACCCCUUCAUCCACCCAAAAAAAGAAUAAGAAAACUGAAAAGGAAAACAAAAAACACAGAAUACAAAACAACAGGGAUAAGAACUAUAGAAAGUCCACAAUUUUUAUUUUAUUUUGCACUACCUCUCUAAACAAGGACUUGGUAUAUUCAACCCAUGCUCUCUGCAUCUGAACAACCUCCAUCCCUUUAAAACUCUCGGACAAAAAGAAAGAAGAAAAACACAGUGCUUUCUUAAGCUACGACAACUCAACACAGCUUUGUGGCUUAAAUUUACAGAUCUUGUGGGAGUUAUUGCACAAUAAAAGUGGGUAAUAAAUGGUAUAAAUGGUAUGGAAACGGAAAGCUUGAAAGGGAUUUAGUGAAUUUUAAAGUAGAAAUGGAAAGAUUUUUGUUUGCUUUUUGGCUAUCAGGUGAGUAAACGUUUUGAAUCCCUUCCUCUCUGGAUUUGUGCUAAUAAUGCUUGUGUUCUAUUUUGAGUCUUUUUUGCACCAAUAUAAUUAGCUCUUGUGCUGUACCAUCUUGUAAAGCAACCCCAACCUUAUUCCAUCUUCUUCAUCAUUCUAGCUUUACUUCUUGUGGUAUUCCUUUAAAAAUAAAUAAAUAAAUAAAUUAUUUCAAUUUGCAGUACAAACUAUUGGUUCUGGUUACAAGUUCACACAUGGGGUUUGACUGUGACUUCAACCAUGUAAUACAACACUAGUUUGAUUCCCCUGGUCUGCGGGGAGCUUCUUCUUUUUCUCUACACUUAAAAAAGUAUGGAUGUUAUUUUUAAUGUUUUUUUAUUAUAUAAAAAAAUUAGCUAUAAACUAAAAAGUUUGUAAAUGAAUUUAUAAAUAAUAAUAAACUUAUUAAUUUCAAUGAAAUAUUGAGUUGAGAUAUUAAGAUAUUUAUAACAUAUUUCCAGCUAAAUUUUUUUAUUUUUGUCAUGAUUAAGAUAUAACUGUAAAUCAAACAUAUAAAUUAAAAUUACAUCUCAAAUGAUAAUUCUUAAUCUUAAUAAUUAAAAUACAAUGCCUUACCUUUUCAUUUUAUUAUUUUAUCUCCUUUAGGUGAAUCUCCUUAACAUACAUUUAAUUUCCCAAAAAAAUAUAGUUGAAAAUAUUAAUAUCAACAUAACACUGUUGAUAUUUUUAACAUCUAUAAUCCGGGAAAAAAACAUAACACCACGUACUGUCGAUAUCAACAUAAUCCAUAUUGAUAUCAUUAUCCUAAAAGUUCUGGUAAGCUAAUCAAGUUCUUAGUAAUAUUGAUAUCUACACAACUCUGUUGAUAUCACUAACUUCCAUGAUCUAGAAAAAAAAAAAAACAAGCACCAAGUAAUGUUGAUAUCAACAUAAUUAAUGUCGAUAUCAACAUAAUUCAUAUUGAUAAUUCAUGUUGAUAUCAUUAGCUUUCAAGCUUCAAUGGGGUAAUCAAGUUCUCAUUAUGAUCGAUAUCAAUAUAAUCUCGUUGAUAUUAUUAACUUUCAUAAUCCAGAAGAAAACACAAACAUCAAGUAAUGCUUAUAUCAACAUAAUCCAUUUUGAUAUCAUUAGCCUCCAAGUUUCAGUAGACUAAACAAAUUAUCAUUAAUACAAAUAUCAACAUAACCUUGUUGAUACCAUUAACUUUUAUUUUUUUUUUGAAAGAAAACAUAAACACCAAGUAAUGUCGAUAACAACAUAAUCCAUAUGAUAUCAUUAGCCUCCAAGUUCCAGUAGGCUAAUAAAGUUUUCAUUAAUAUCGAUAUUAACAUAACCAUAUUGAUACCAUUAACUUUUAUGAUCUGGAAUAAAACACAAACACCAAAUAAUGUCGAUAUCAAUAGAAUCUAUGUUGAUAUAAUUAGCCUGCAAGUUCUAGAAGGCUAAUCAAGUUCCCAUUAGUACCAAUAUCAAUAUAAUCUUGUUAACAUCGUUAACUUCCAUGAUCCAUAAGAAAAAACAAACACCAAGUAAUGUCGAUAUCAACAUAAUUCAUAUUGUUAUCAUUAGCCUCUAAGUUCCGAUAGGCUAAUCAAGUUCUCAUUAAUACUAAUAUCAAUAUAAUCUUAUUAAUAUCAUUAACUUCCAUAAUUCCGAAGAAAACACAAGUAUCGAGUAAUGUUAAUAUCAACAUCAUCCAUGUUGAUAUUAUUACCCUCUAAGUGCUAAUCUAGUUUUUACUCAACAUAUUUUCCUUCUUUUCAUAAGGUUAAGUCUUGAUAUCAAUAAAAUUUUAUUACAUCAUUAGCCCCAGAAAACUUGAUGGCUAAUCAAGUCUUGUUUAUAAGUUUCCUUGAUAUACUUUUCUUUCCUGACAUGAUCGGUAAUAGUAAUAAUAAUAAUAAUACUAAUUCACACACACACACAGACAUUAAAUAUCAAUAAAAGUAGACAUUUAAUUCACUCUUUUUUGAAAAGUAUCAAGGACAACACGUUUUCACUGCUGUCAAUUUAAAUCUGUCACCUAAAUACAAAAUUGCCCAAAUUAUUAUGUACUUGGCAUUAUAUCGAUAACUUUUUCUUAAUUAUAAUUACUUUGCUUUAAAAACUGAUUAUAAAUCGAAUUAAGAGCUUCCACUUUUCUAGCUUUUACCACUUUGUUUUUAAGCAAAGUAAUUAAAAAUGUCAAAAAGUAUUUAUUAAAUAUUUUAAAAAUAGUUUUUUUAUUUUAAAAAUGAAAGGUGAUUUUUUAUAAAAGUAGGCUAAAAGUGUAUUAGAUUCUACUUCAAAAGAUGUUUUCUAUGAUGAAAGACUGCAUAUUAUAUUUUAUUUAAACAUAAAAUAACUUGAACUAUUAUAAAAUUAUAAAAACAUUUAUAGUGCAUUUUAUCCUAAUAUAUAUAUAUAUAUAUAUAUAUAUAUAUAUAUAUAUAUAUAGACAUGAAAUCAAAUUAAAUAUCAUAUAAAGAUUUUAUAAAAACUAAGCAUAUAUCCAAACUUAUAUAAAAAAUUGAAACACCUAGAGGUGAGCAAAAAAAACCAACAAACCGAUUAAACCAAGAAAACCAGAAAAAACCAAAAAAAUCGAACCAUGAAAAAAAACUGAUUAGAAUAUUUUAAAAAAAUUCAGUUCGGUUCGGUUUCGGUUUCGGUUUCAUAAGCCUAAAAUAAAAAAACUGAACCGAACCGAUUUAGUUAAGAAAUAAACCAAACCAGAAAAAACCCAUUAGAAAGUCUAAAAAAACCCCAAAAAACAAUAUAAUUUUCAGUUUUUAAUAUAAAAUAACCAAACCGAAUCGAAACCGGUUUGGUUUGGUUUCGGUUUUUUAUAUAUUUUAUAAAAUUUCAAUUUGGUUGUUUUUAUAGGUAAAAACCAAACCGAAUCGAAAAUGAUCACCGUAAACACCAUUCUAGCAUGUAUACUAAACAUAUAAUAUAUUAAAUUAAAAUUAAAAUUAUAUAGGGUACUUACUUGUUGAAAAACUUAAAAUAUGAUUAAGUUAUAUUGUUGUCUAGGAUUAAUAUUUUAUUUUUAAAGUUUUAUUGCUCCUCACUUGGUAUAAAUAGGAUGUAUGCAAUAAGUUUCUCAAGAUUUUAACAAUAAUACCUUGUUUAUAUACACUUCUAAAUAAGAUCCACAGAUCAAACAAAAUUUGACUGAAGUGUCUUUCUACAAUAUGUAGCGAUGGAGGAGUUUGAAUAAUAUAUAAAAAUGGUGCAAAAAAACUUUUCCUUCAACCUCCUUUUACAAUGGAUGAAACCGAAACUUAUUUUAUUAUAUACUUUGAUUACUCUUCAUAAAACAAGAAUUAAACAUGACAGUUUUGACUUUAAAUUAAUAUUUUUCUUAGAUAAAAAAACUAGUCGGGUUACUAAAAAAAUUGACCAGAUUUUGAUCAUAAAUUGGACAUACUAAUGGUCUGGCAAAAAAUAGCUCUUCAUGGGCCAAAAAAAUUAUAAACCCAAACCUAAGCCCAGAGAAAAAGGUGAGAAGGAAAAAAAAUCUUUUAUAACCCAAAAUAUUAUUCUACAAUAAACUCAAGCCCAAACUAAGCUCGAGUCGAGCAAUGCAUGUGUGACUUUGUUCAUGAUCUGGAUAUACUAAUAAACUAACAACAAAAUAAUUCUUCAUGAAUCAAAGAAUUAUAAACCCAAGUCCAAGCCUAAAAAAUGUUUAGUAACAAAAAAACAAUCUUUGGUAGCCCAAACAAAUCAUUUUACACUAAACUAAAAUCCGAACUCAGGCUCGAGCUAGGCAGCAAGCAUGCGAUUCAAAACCCAAAACCCACUUUGCUUAGGUAUAUAUUCUUUUGUUUUAAUAGUUUAGGUACUUCUUGUAUUCAAUUUUAACUAUUCACAUUCCCAUUAAAUAACUUAAAAGAAAAACUUGUUUCUUUCUUACCUUGGGAUAGAGUUUUAGAGGGCUUUUGAGUUUCUCAAAAAUAUAUAAACGAAAGGUUAUUUGAGAACACUUUCUUGUUCAUUCACAAAUUAUUUUAAUCAUGCUAAAAAAAAUUUUAACCCUAAAAGUGUCUGGACUUCAUUUUUAAUAUGACCUUAAAUAUGCUGAUUAAUCAUGUACUUAAAUAAUUUUUCCAACAACUGCUUAUAAUUUAUUACCAAACAAUUGAAUGUGUUUAAUCUUAUAAUGCAACGUAGCACAACACAAUAGCUAUAGUGGAGGUCAAACACAUUCCAAGUUUAUCAAACCAAAUUCAAGAACAUGUUUGGGCACUUUCUCAUUGAGCAUUUACCAGUGUUAAUUAAAAAAUAAAUAAAAGCUGACGAAAAGAAAUUAAAAGUUAAGAUUGAUUUGGAACAUCUCAAUAAAUAUCUUAAAAUCACCCGCUAGAACCCUAAGAAAAUAAUAGUUUUUUUUAAUUAGAAACAAAAAGGGGCCUUGACAACAAAUUAAUUGUAACUCUUAAAUCUAAUUAAUUAAUUAAUUAAUUUCAACCAAGAUCUGUUUUUUUUUUAACAUAGUUUUUGAAAAUGUUUUAACCAAAAUGCAGCAAGCAAAACGGAAGCAAUUGCCAUAAUUAGCAUAAAAUAACCACUACCAAACAUAGUAGAGAGGCAUCACGGGACAUGCCCUCUCAUUACAACUCGAAGCAACGAGUGUUUUUUUAAUAAGAAUUAGGAACAUGAUGAAGUGAAGGGGAUUUUUAGCCUGCGUUGACCCUUCAAAAUCCAUUAUAAAGAAGACAACACAAUCUUCUUCUUCUUCUAAUUAUGAAAAACCUAACGGCACGUUUGUAUUGUUCUUUGAAGAUUGUUAUUUUGAAGAACAUGCAAGAUGGAAAUCUCUUUUAGGGAGAAAGAUGAAAUAAUUAAAUGACUUGCGUUUUGAAAGAGUUAAUCUUGAGUGGACUAAGGGUCUGUUUGUAAAUGUAGUUGCGGUUAUUUUUUAAAGUGCUUUUUAUUUAGAAAUAUAUUAAAAUAAUGUUUUUUUUAUUUUUUUGAAAUUAUUUUUGAAAUCAACGCAUCAAAAUGAUCUAAAAAAUAAAAAAAUAUUAAUUUAAAGAAAAAAAUAAAAUAAAUUUAAAUUUUUUCAAAAACAUUUUUGAAACACAAAAACAAAUAUAAUCUAAGUUGUUGAUUGAUUUAAUUUUUUUUUAAUGAAAUUAAUUUUUUUAAAACUCAAAUCAAUCUAAAUCUUAAUAGAAAACAUUCAAAUUAAAUAAAUGGUUGAUAGGAGUUUUAUAAUUAAAAUAUAAUUAAUAGGAGAAAAAGGGUAGGGCAGCGUAUUAUCUAGGGGUGAUCAUUUUUUAUUCGGUUCAGUUUUUAUAAAAAAAAGUAACCAAACCGAAAUUUUUUUUAAAAAAAAACCGAAACCGGUUCAAACCGGCCGGUUUUGGUUCGGUUUGGUUUUUUAGGACAAAAACCGGUUCAAACCGGUUUGGCUCGGUUUUUUCGGUUUUGGCUCGGUUUUUUUCCGGUUUGGGUUCUGUUCGGUUUUAGGCUUAUAAAUCGAAACUGAACCGAACCGGUCGGUUUUUUCAAAAUUUUAAUCGGUUUUUUUAUACGGUUCAGUUUUUAUAAUUUUUUUUAUUUUCUCAGUUUAAUCGAUUUUUUUACUCACUCCUAGUAUUAUCUGUAUCCGUAAAAUAGAGAAAAGGAAUAAAAAAUGCUAACACCUCCUUCAUUCGUCUAACAGGCUACAGCUGUUUCAUGUUUCAACUCUCUAAUCAACUCCUCCCGUUUAAUUUCAUCAUUUCAGAAGGGACAGCUGGACAAAAGACAUGCUCCAUUCUCAAAGGCUAAAGCCCUUUUUAUUUCUUCUUUCAAAUCUUUCUAGAAAUACAUUUUGAAAAUCGAUCGGGAAAAAAAUAAUAAUUUCAAUUAAUAUAUAAAAAAAUACUCUUAGUUGUUGAAUUUAAAAAAAAUAAAUAAAUCUCGUAGUUUGUGGAGACGGUCUGGCUUGCUUUGCUUGUGACCUGUGAGGUGUGACAGACACCGACCGUAAACGUGGAGAGAGGAGAAUCCUUACCAGUUUUAUUCUCUCUUUUCAGGGCAAACGAGGAGGUGUGGUGUGUGUUUGGUCAAUGGCUAAUAUUCUUCUCUUUUCAUGAUUCGUAGAUAUCGUUGAAGAUUGCAAUGGGUUGCACUUGCAGCGGAGAUUCUUCUCAUGUGAUAAGACAUGAUAGUUAUUCCAUCACUUCAGAUUGCCAAAUCCUUUCGUUUCACUGAAAGAGAAGCAUCAUCUUCUCGAGUCUGAAACUCAUUUCACUUGAGAACGAAACUGGUCUUCUCAAGACUGAAUUGUCACUUCUCAAGAAAAGAUUCACCAAUGGGACAGAUGGAUGCAUUAAAAUUUGUUGAAAAUGAAUAAGAAUCCAACGAAAGGGAGAAAGAGAGUGAGGAUAGUUCACUUCUUCCAAAUCAAAACACCUUUUUCUCUCAAGCACCCGUUGAAAUCUUAAGCUUCAAAGAGGGGGGGGAAAACAGAAAGCGAAGAACUAUUGAAGCGCAUAUGCUAAAUGCAUUUUCUGUAUUUCAUGAAAGCUGGCUGUAUCUACAAUGAGAGGAAAAUACAACUAGCAAAAUACAAGAUGGAUCAUUUUCAGCAAUGUCUACGGGAUUGUAAUUGAAAAGAAAAAUCAAGUACAGCCCCCUACAAAGACCAUCAACCAACCAUAAGGAAACCUACAAGGAGUGUGGAAGGCAUAUCCUAACAUACCUUAGAACUCCUACAAUAUCCAGGAAGGUCCGGUGACCCAACCGUGUACUCAGUGUUUUUGGUGCGUUCUCCAAGGGCUGCCCACCUCUCACAACUUUCAUUCUGAUCAGUGCAAUUCCCACCAGCUUCCACGUUCUUGUCAAAUGAGUCUACAUGAAUCCACUUUGUGGCAGACCAUUUCUCACCUUCAAUCACAGGGCACCCUAUUUAUAAGUUUACAAUAACUAAACAAAAGCUCUUAAUACACGCCCUCUCUUUCUUUCUAGUGUUUCUCUCUAAUCUCUCCACACAUAAUAGCAUAAACUUAGCUGCCUAUUUAUACACAAAUUGAAAGUAAAAAAAAAUCAAACUUAAAGUGUGAAGGCGGCUGACGGCACAUAGCAGGUGGCUGGCUGCAAGUGGUGUUUGAGGCGAUUAACAGCUGGUGGUUGUAAGUGGUGGUUGGUGGUUGCAUUCCUUGACCUUCUAGAUUGAGUUUACCACAACAAAUUCCCCAUUUAAACUCAAUCGAGGGAUGUCAUGCCAAGCAUGAACUUCAAUCUGAUAAAUAUUUCUCCCUUCAAUGGCUUUGCAAAAAUAUCUGCAACUUGAUCAUUUGUCUUGCAUGAUAUGAGUUCAACUUCUUUGUUCUUCACAUGCUCUCGGAUAAAGUGAUGACGUGUAUCAAUGUGUUUACUUCUUUCAUGAUACAUUAGGUUCUUUGCUAAUGCAAUCGCUAAUCGAUUAUCAAUAUAAAUCUCUGUAGGAUUUUCUUGAGGAAAUCUCAAAUGCUUCAGCAUAUUCCUUAACCAUAUUAAAUGGCAUACAGCUGAGUUGGCAGCAACAUACUCAGCUGAGUUGGCAACAACAUACUCA